GGCGCGGCGCGGACGCGGAGCGUGGGAAGAGCGGGCGGAGCUCUCGAAGCAGAGUCCGCAGUGUUGCGCCUCCGCGGGUCUCCGUGCAUCCGGGCGGCGAUUGCGGUGCAGCGCCGGAAGCCGGCGACCGCUCAGGACAAGAUCUUGCCUUGUAAUCCUGGUUUGCUUGGAACCUACUACAUAGACUAGAUUGGCUACCUACUGCUGAAAUCAUAGGCAUGUGACACCAGGCCCAGCUAGUAACUAUUCUUGAGGGCCUUCUCUGUGACAGACAUUGUACCAGACCCUGGACAGACACCUGUGAAAAGAUGGUCAGAGCCUGACUGUCAUGGAUGCUGCAUUCUAAACUGUGAGAACUACUGUCAGCUUUCCUUGUGUAGUAUAUUAUUAUGACUGUCACGUCUGCGCUGCCAAAUCCACCAUGCUUUAGGGCCUGGUAUUCAUGGACUCAUGCUGUCAUUUCGUGUAGUUGAUGAGAAGUGUCUAUAAGAAGCCUGGUACCGUUUCUGUAGCUUGACUCCUUUUCAUAGCCCCGUAGCUUGCCUUUUAGAGAGACACUGGUUUGCUAUUGUGUUUAACAUUCUGGCCUAAGUGUAUGUAGCUCUGAUAGUUAAAGUGGUGAGGUUACUUAACUAAUGGAUUGGCAGAGAGGCUAAAUGAAAACAUUUAAAAGCCCUUCCCGAUUAGUAAAGGUCUUGGCAAGUGCCCAGUGGUACUGGUAUCUUAGAGCAAGUUGGUCAUUUCCGUGGACUUUGCUGGCUGUGGGUUGAGCUCUUCUUGCCUUUUCACCAGCUGGUCAGGUGACAGGUCUGUGCUCUCCCUGGACCUGCUCUUUGUGGAAGCUGUAAAUUGACGUGCAUCUAUGCUGCUGUGGGAAUCUAGUCUGCCAAUACAACUUGGGGUCAUAUGAUUUAUAUUUCCCUAUGUAAAUAAUUUCUCCAAAUUUUAAAAAUGAUCUGUGAUUCUUACAUAUUAUUAGUUCAUUUUUUUGUUUGUUUUUGUUUUUGCAAUUUCAGUUUAAGUCCAGCUAUAUGGCAGGAUUAGAAUAUCUGUGCGGUUUUAGUGCUUUUUAGUAAAAAUACGUUCUCAGAUGUAAAAACCAAUGUACUUUUAGCAUUCAUAUGUUCUCUAUUAUAUACUUAGGAUAAUGCAUAAUAUUUUAAAUUUAGCAUGAUUGAUAUUUCUAGUCACUGAAGGUUACAUGGUUAAGAAUUUGAUUUUUUAAUUAAACAAUAAUUUGUAAAUCAGUUAAAUUCUGAGUAUCUUCCUGUGUUGUAUAUAGCAUUUCAGUAUUAAUGAUACAUAGUAAAUACAACAUUGAAAGCUGUCAGUGGCUAGAUAAGUGAUAUGUGGUACUUUCUCUCUUCCUCUGUUCACAGUUCUGUCCUAGACAGUCCCUGCCUCCUGGGCACCCUUCCCUCUUACAUAUUCAUAACAAUGCGCACCUCCAGCUCCAUAUCUGUGCACAUCACCAGUUUUCCUCCUUUAUGCAAAACAUUUGCACUGGCUGCUGUUCUGUCGUUUUGAAGAAGCCCCAGAUUCCGCCUUUCAGGCUUCCUCACGCUUGUGUUUUGUGUCCACCUUGAAUCCCACCACUCUUGGUUAAUGUGCUCCUGACAUCUCUCCCAGCGAUCACUCUGGCUUUGACCUCACUGAGUGGCUCCUCAGCAGGGUUGGGCAUAGCUGGGCCCAUCAUUUUCCUGGAGGCUGUUUUUUUGUUUCCAGGGCAUCUGUUCCUGGUCUCUUACUGCCUUCACUCGCCACACAUGUUCAGUUUUCUAUCCCUGAGAUUCCUCCUCUUUAUCUUUUCCUCACUUUUGUCUUUAAAUGCCUUACUUACAAAUAAUAUCUCCAGUUCAUUUCAAAGUAGUCACAGAUGGGAAAUACCAAUAACCAUGCAUUUUUUUCCUCCUGAAGUUGCUUCAUUGCUUUCUCUAUAAUUUUAUUUAUAUUAAAAAUUUUCCCUAAUGAGAAGCAAGAGCCUGGGUGAUGACGCUUCUCAAUUUUCGUCUUUAAUCCAGGCUUUCUUUUGAGGUGUAGACCCUGUAUAUGUGUCUGCUGGUUUAACAUCUCAGUAUUGAUAUUAAUACAUAUUGAACAUACCCCAGGCUGAACUGACUUUUCUACUCAGUUUUCCCAUCACGGUGAUGGGAAUGCUAACCUUUUAGGUGUUUAUUAGAAUACUAGAUGUUGUAUUUCACUUUCCUCAUUCUUGUGGGCCUUUAUCCCACCCAUGUGCUGAUCCAGAUUCCAUCUAUAAAGCAUUUCCAAAUCUGACCUGUCAGAACUGCUUUCCCUGCCAGCACCCUGGCCAGAUUGCUGUCAUCUCCGUUUCUUUGUCUCUCCUAGGCUAGAGUCCUCAUAGCAGCCAGAAUCUUCCAUCGAAGGAGAAGUCUAUGCCCUGAGGUUCUCAGCCACUAGUGGUAGCUUUUCUUCUCAUUCAGUAAAUACUGUGGUCCUCAAUGAGGUCCCCAGGAGGACGUAGCUUAUAUCACUACUGUAAAAUAGAGACACAAUGUGAGAAACAUUGGAGAAGCACACAGGUAAUUUUAAAAUCUCUGGCGAACGAAGUAAAGAUGUUGAAAAUUAAUUGUGGUCAUGUAUUUUAUUUAAGCUAGUACGUCAGAAGUGUUUUUAUUUCCGAAGUGGGUUAUAUUGUUCUUGUUUAAUUUCCCGUUUGUGCUGAGUCAUAGCCUAUCUCCAACGGAGGCUGGCGGCCCCCGUGUGGUGCAUCGGGACUGUAGGAUCCAUCUCCUGUGCUGUUCAUCUCUCUCCUCUCAUGCUCUUCCUUCACUACAGUUUAUGCCAUCGUCUUUGGCCUCCUCCAUGUUGCUUAAGCACUGUGUUAGAGCUGUUUCGUUUCUAGUUCUCUCUGUCUGGAAUCUUCUUCCCACACAGCCUGUGGUUUUGUUUUGUUUUUGUUUUUGUUUUCCCUUUUUUCCUGUGGGUCUUAGAUUCUCAGGGGCCUCCCCAUAGCUCACCAUUCUCUAGCAUUCUCUGUACCCCUUCACACAGAGCUUUUUCUCUCUCAUCAUUAAUAUUAUAAAUAUUUCUGUAAUGGUUUGAAUAAGGAUGGCCCCUUAUAUAUAGGCUCGUAUAUUUGAAUGUUUAGUCCUCAGGGAACAGUAGUACUUGGGAGAGAUUAGGAAAUGUUGAGAUGUUGGAGAAGGUGUGACCAUGUUUGAGGAAGUGUGUCACUGGGGAUGGGCUUUGGAAUUUCAUGUUGCCCACGAAUCCAGAUGUAGAACUUUUAGCACCGUGAGAGAAAUCCUAGCACCAUGCUGCCAUGCUUCCUGCCGUGAUGGCAGUGCGUUAAACCUCUGGAACUAUAAGCAAGCCCCAAUUAGAUGCUUUCCUUUAUAAGAGUUACCAUGGUCAUAGUGUCUCUUUAAAACAGAAGAAUACCGACUAAGUUUAUAUCAGUAUUUUUUCUCUUUCUGUUUACUGCAUGAGCAGUGAUCUUUGUCAGUUUUGUCCCUUGCUUUGUUUCAAAGUAGAGACAGCACCGACCGACCAUGUAGUAGAUGUUUGUUGAAUAAUUGAAUAGAGUGAAUGAUUAAGAAUGUUUAUUAGUAAGGACAGUUCAAAUGAGUAUACUAUUACACAUUAUGUGACAGAUGACACAUAAAUUUAAACAUUGUGCCCAUGUCCAUAAUAGUUUGUUUUGACUUACUAUUUUCAACAAAAUGUUUAAAAGACAUUCUAGUAUUUUUUUCUUCAUACUUAGGUACCUCUAACACAAGCUCCCCCAGAAGUUCUUGCCCUUAUUACUUCUGCUAACCUUGUCUCUGCGUCUUGUCUUUUUUGUUCCUCUUAUCUAAAGGCCUGAGUUUCACCAAUAUUUAUGCUUGAUGGGCUGGAGGAUAAGUCAGUCCUGUGACCCAGGACUUUAGAGCUGUGUUUCUUAAACAACAAAAUCUGCCAGGCCAGAUUUCUUAGGCAGCUGCUGGAGAUAUUGUAUGAAAUGACUUUUUGAUAUUAGGGAGGACAGCAUUGCAGCAUUUAUUGACUGUAUGUUCUUCUGGUCUCACAAUGUGACCAUUCUAGUCAUGGCCAUGCUGUGAUUUAGGAAGCUGACACUGCUCUGAAAGUCUGCUAGCACAACAUUCUGAAAGAGGUAGCCAUGGUAGCUAGAGUGGCCAGCCCAGUUCUUUAAAGCACAUAUACAAAAAUAUAUAGGUGCAUACAUACAAACAGACAUAAUUACAUAUGUUUUGUGCAUUGCCGUUAUUCCGGUACAUAUACAUAAUGAGUGAGGGUCAAAUUAAGAUCAGUGACAUAUCUAUCUUCACAGACACAUAAUUUCUUUAUGUUGGAAACAUUCAGAAUCCUCUUUGCUACACCAGCAGGUCAUUUAAUCAGUCAGCCCUAUGCUAGCUUUUCUGGAUUAUAUGGUAAAUUGUUGCCAGCUAUAGUUGCCCUACAGGAGAUGAGAAGUUUUUUGUCUAUCAUGCUGGACCAUCAUGAAUUGUCCACUCUCUCUGUUUUUGACCCUUUUCCUAACCUUUGAUAGCCACUGUUCUAUUUUCUGCUUCUGUGAGGUCAACUUUGGAGCUUCUGCAUGCCAGUGAGAAUGUGUGUACAUCUUUCUGCGCCUAGCUUAUGUCACGUAAUGUAAUAUCUCUUAGGUCAUACGGCUUCAAAUGACAGGAUUUCAGUCUUUUAUGGUGAAAUAAUUUUCACACACACACACACACACACACACACACACACACUCACACACGCACACACGCAGGUGCCACAUUUUCUUUUUUCAUUCCCCUAUUGAUGGACACUGAGGUUUAUUCUCUUGGCUAUUAUGAUUAGUGCCACAGUAAAAAUGGCAUGAAAAUGUCUCUAUGGCAUAACAACUUCAAUUUCUUAAAUAUAUUUCCUGUAUUGGGAUUGCUGGAUUAUGUGGUAGCUUUAUUUCCAGGGUAUUUUUUGUUUUGUUUUGUUUUUUUGAGUGGAGUGUCCCUAUGGAGCCAAGGCUAGCCUAGAAUUCAUGGUCCUCCUGCCUUAGUCUCCAGAGUGUUAUGCAUUGCAGGCCUGCGCCAUUGCCAUGCCUGGUUUAUUUCUAGUUUUUGUUCGUUUGUUUGUUUUAUUUUAUUUUUAAGGUCCCUAAAUACAAUUUUCUACCAUAGCUAAUUUACAUUUCCACUAACAAUGGGACAAGGUAUUUUUUCUACAUCCUCCCCAGCAUUUGUUACCACUACCACCACUACUUAUUCUUAUUUUUACUAUUAUUAUUAGUAUAAUUAUGGUGAUGCAUUUUUGAUAAUAUCUACUCUCAUUGGGGUGAGAUGGCAUUUUAUUAUAGUUUUGAAUUUAUAUUUUCCUGAUGAUCAGUGAGAUUGAACAUUUUCUUGGAUACUUGUUGGCUGUUUGUCUUUUUUAAAGCAAUGUUUGUUUAGGUAAUUUGCCCAUUUUAAAAUCAGAUUAUUUGUUUUGAGUUCCUCAUAUGUUCUGGAUGUUGAUCCUGGCAGGUAAAUAGUUUGCCAACAUUUUCUCAAGUUCUACAUGUUGUCUUUUCAUGCUUGCUUUCUUUUCUGUGCAGACGUUUCUACUUCAGCCACCUCCCUUAAAGAAGUGAUGCCUCUUUGUACCUGUGUACACAUCCUGGCAGGGCCCUUCUCCUCUUUGUUUGUUCAAGAAGCUAUGGAUGUGUACGUUUGGAGUUGUUUGCCCAAUGAUUGUGAGCACACUUUUAAAAGGUGAGCAGCUGGAAGUAGACCCUUCCUUGUUGAAGAAAGCUUGUUUCCCUUGCUCUAUUUUUUUAACCACUUGAUUAUGCUUAACCCAUCAACUGCUGUUCACUGAAGCACAUCUGUAAAGGUUGUUCUGUCUAUUUCUCAUUUUGGAACAAGUAGAAUAGAGAUGGAAAUGGAUGUAGUAAGAAAGAAGAUAGCCAAUUUUAGUUAUAGAGUUAAAGCUUAAAAGGAAGACAGAAGACAGAAAAAGGUAAGAAUGUAUCAUAGUAACCAGAGUCGGGUAAGGAGAAUGUCUUUUGGAAAACAGUAAACAUCUGGUCCAUUGUGUUCCUGACUAUAUGCUCAGAGCCUAGCUAUACUAUUCCCACUGGGUCCUUGGUACAUGUGUUGUUAAGUGGGUGCUCAAGAACAGGCAGGGCUUUGCCUCUAGCACAGAGCUAGGGUACAGAGCCAAAGGAGGACUGUUGGAGCUGGGUGGCCAGCAUACUCAGAAGAAGUGUAUGCAGUAAAAGAGGGCUGUAUAUUGGAAGAGGUGGUAAGAAGUCCUGGACCUGCUCUUAUUAAUCAUUGAAUGGAAGCUAUAGCAGAAAAAAAAUUCUUACAGCACAUAGUUUAGUUUGACAUAUAGCAGGGGAUUUGCAAGAUCCACAUUACAAAACACUUCCUCAGUCUGGCCCAGCUAUGCAGUGCUUGCCAAGGUCAUCAGUCAGCCAGAAGAGCCUUUCCUCCUCUGUAGUCUUGGGUGUUGAUGGCACGCACUGCGUAGACCUUCUGGGUUUGAAGUGCUGAUUAGCAGCAAGCUCAGAGAUGACCCCGAGGGGCAUGAGGAGGCAGUGGAGAGUGCAGAGUUUGCCACUGAAUAUGUGCUCCUUUAGCAGGGCACAAACAAACAAACAAACAAACAAAUAAUUUAAAAAGAGAUUAACCCAUCAUAUUUGCUAUGUAAGAAUAUUAAUUUUUCUUUGGUUUUGUUCUGUUUGGUUUGGUUUAGAGAUGGGGCUUUUCUGAAUAGUCCUCGCUGUCCUGGAACUCUCUCUGUAGACCAGGCCAGCCUGUAACUCAGAGAUCCACCUGCCUCUGCCUCCCAAGUAUUGAGACUAAAGGUGGUGCCACCACACCCUGCUAGAAUACUGAUUUUCUAAGAUAUGUUUUUGACUCUGAUACCCAACGAACAGUAGCUACAAAGACAAAUGUGUCAUAUUUCUGGGAAGAGGGAAUAUAGGAAUUAGUGACUAGGGGUUCAUAUUGCUACAGUCUGGGCUUUGGAGAAUUCCGUUACUGUUGGAUCCAUUAGGGUAGGCUAUUUAGAGGAGGAGAUAGCAACAUUUCACAGGCUACUUGCAAGAAAGACUAGGCUGAGGAUGCCUAUUAAAUCAAUUAUUUUAUCCUGUCAUUAAAAAAAAAUCAAAGUAUAAGAUUGCCUCUAUUUAACUAAUAUUAUCAAACAGACUUCAGGCUCUAGGAUUUGUAGCAUAUCUGAUUUACAGUUAGGCUGUUGGAAGAUUUGAACCCCAGGACAGCACAGAUGGCCCUUCUGUCUUAGUGCUUCAGGUCUGUUCAGUUCUGGGACUACAGUGUAGGGAAGAAGUGCGAAACUGGUAAAGCAUGUGUUGGCCAGGAAUCAGCCCAGUGUGUUUAAUAGUUGGACCAGCACCAGAGGAAUCACUGGGACAAGAGGGAAGAAAUCAUAGGCCCCCUGGGGAGGCUUGACGACUGGGGUUGUCCUAGCUGCGACUACUGCAGAGAAAAGAUUUGACAAUGGGGUGGUGUGAAAUCAGUGCAAUGAGUGACCACCAUUUAAAAAAAAAAUGCAUGUGUUUGGUAAAGUCUUAAUGAAACUUAUUUUCUAUAGUUAAAAUGUUAGUAAAAAAUUAAAAGUAUGUAUAAAUGUAAUAGAAAAUAUUGAAUUGCAUAAUAUGUGAUAAAGGUAUUAUCUCAUUAAAUGUUGGUUCAUUUUUAUGUAUAUAUAGAGAAAGAUGCAAAGAACACAGGGGUGCAGGAGUACCAUGUAACCUGGGCCUUACUGAGGGUGAAGAAUUAGAAUAUGUAAAAGUACUGUCCUAAAAGGGUUCCUGUGUUCUUAGCAUAGACUUCGGGCUCCAGUUACUUCCCCAAAGCUACCAUUGGGGCUUUGCUUCCUGCUUUAAUAGCAGUUUCUUUGCUUUCUAAGAUUUAUUCUGUUUAUUUGUUUGAUUUUUGUUUUUGUCGUUUUGUUUUGUUUCGUUUUCGUUUUUGUUUUUUCCUUUCAACAGAAAUCUUUCCCACAUACCAAGGUCUGGGCUAGAAAGAAGCUAUCCCAACUUACUUUGCCCUAUGAGUGUUGUGUUUCUGGGAUUCACUGAGGAAUUCACAUACUUAGGUUCCUGGUGGAUAGUAGGGGGCUGACGCAUCCUGGUGACGUCACUAAGGUCUCAGAUACUUGGGCUCAAAAUUGCUCAGGCUAAAUGUGUUCAUUUGUGCACCCCACCCCCAAAGAAGCAUUUCUCAGGUUGUGGCUGCUUCUCUAUGCCAAUUGGCCUGCAGAGUACUGACCCACAUGCUGUACCUCACACAGAGGUUUAAAUUAGGACCUUUAAUCUGUAAGAGGCUUACAGCUUGUGGAUAGCCAGCUGCUCUGGACUUGAUGUGGGCAGAACUGAGCUUUGCCUGGCUGUUGUGGGGUUCAGUAAAUCAUGAAGGUAGAUGGUUUGGUGGCAGGAGCCACAGACCCUAGGAGUAGGUGAGUAGGGCCUUAUUUGAAGGAAUAGGACAAUGGCUUGUCCUCGUUGUAACAGAAAGGAAGCACAUAGUGCUAUGGUUGGCUGCUGGUUCCUCCUGAGCAUUCAACCAGAAUACAGUUACCUCUGCAAAACACGUGCUUUCAUCUCACAAAUGUGAGCCUGGUAUGUCCAGCACAAUGCCAUUCUGUGGCAUUGUGAAAUAUUCAUCCACAGGUCAAAUAUUUUAUUUGGCUGGUAGCUGUUCCUUCAGCCAAAUAAAAACUCCAAAAUCAUAAGCAUGUGGUAUUGUUAGAAACACUGAGAAAGGAGACAGCCUUGAGCACUGAAUGGCAGGAUUUAGGAGUUGAGGUGAAGGCAAGGCAUGGAAGGUAGGAGGAAGGUUGUGAAUUGGGACAGAGAAGAUGGAUAGGCCGGCCAUCCAUCAGACACUAGGAGCUUUAUCUCUUGUUCAUGGCCUCUCCCUGAAAUGCCUUGUCAGCCUCACGUACUCUCAUUCCAUGGCUUAGACCUAGCUCUUGGGUUCCUCCUUUCCCCCUACAUAUUGUUAUCAUGCUUCCUAAUUUUUAUUGAGUACUUACUACGUACCAAUGUUCUGCAUGUGGUACAUGGAGCCUCCUAUUACAUAGUCAUAGCAAUCUUGCCACAGGUGCUUAGUAUUUAGGAGGCACUUCAGAGCCAGCAAGAGUUGGUGUGUAAAGAUUAAAUUUCUUGUGUCUGGAAUCCAUGUUACAACAUCUUGAAGACUACAUUCCCAGAAAGCAGAAGGCCAAUUCCCAAACCUGUGGUUGACAAACCUGUGCACACAUUCAAGUUCCCAGAGGUCUCCUAAAGUGUAUAAAGUCCAGACUGGGUACCCAGUGGUCUUGUGGCUGGGGAGAGAUUGCAAGGGCAUCAGGAAUUUCAGGGCUUCCUGGUUGAUUCCACUGUGGAGGCUGAUUUAGGAACUGAAGCGUAAUCUUAUGUCAAGGCCUCUAGUAUCUGACUGAGUAUAUUCUGUCUUCAAGUUUUCCACAGUAUAUAUGCCAGGCCCCUCCUCCAUUCCUGUAUGGGGGGUGACUCUUUAUUCACUCAUUUGGUGACAGGGGAUCUAUCCUGCCACACCCUAACACACAGUAUCCUAGAGAGUGACAUGUGUACAGCAGAGUGGACCUGGAAGGAUGAUUUUCCUGGAGCCAGCAGCCCUGUUUUCUCUGAAUGAAACCUUGAGUACAGAGCCUACUGACAAAGCUCAGGAUAUCUCUGACUGGUUUCUCACAUCUUCUACUUUCCUGGGCUCCUGCCUUCCAUGGGGAAGAGAGAGGGUCACAUGAGGGCAUAUCUUAACAAGUUCUGUUCCUCCCUGUCCCCAGCUGAACCUGAAAUGGACACGAAGUGCAGAGUCGCUGGGGUGGCUGGGAGCAACCCUAAAUUUAGCAAAACUGUAGCUGUUGGGGGGCCGGCCUGCAGGAUGCCAGACCCAGCUGAGUGGACUAGAUUUAUAGCCAGCAAAGGGGUUAGUAUUGUCUCUGCUUAGUGUCAUAGGUAUACUGGGCAAUUGUGAGGUUAUGUAGCAUAAGCCAGAAGUUUGUUGGCCUGUUCUAUAGGGCUCCCUAGGUCUGCCCUUGGAGACAAGGCUUCAUCCAUACUAAGGAAACCGUGUCCCUUGGGUUUUGGUCUUCUAUCUACCCACCUAUCCGCCCCUCACUACUAGUGGUCUGGAGUUCUUACAGCGUAGCCCCACCUUGGACUGUAGAUAUUUUUCAUGCCUGUUGGUAGGCUUUGCUAAACUUUUCCCCAAGGUCCCGGAGAGAAGACCCGCUCUUCAGUAGAUUCCUUUCAAGGCAUCUGGCUUCUAGGAUAACUUUGGUCAGGACAGGGGUUGGGAGAAGAAGAGCUGAGAUGGCCAAGCAGGGUGUUAAGGCCCAAGAUUCUCUUUUUUUGACUCCUAGAAAGUGAACCAGCUGGUAAUGGCUGUCUGCUUAUCGCCCAGAGUCAGUUGUGAUGGUUUGGAGUCCAAGUCUUGGACAGUUAAGGACUUCUCUGUGGUCAGCUACGGCCUGUGUUCUGAUGUGAAGUGGUUUAAGAACUGAAGCUGAAUCUCUGUAUUUCAAGGUCUCUGGCAUUAUAUUCUAAGUUUUCCACAGUAUAUAUGCCAGGCCCCUCCUCCAUUCCUGUAUGGGGGAUGACUCUUUAUUCACUCAUUUGGUGACAGGGGAUCUAUCCUGCCACACCCUAACACACAGUAUCCUAGAGAGUGACAUGUGUACAGAGGGGUGGACCUGGAAGGAUGAUUUUUCUGGAGCCAGCAGCCCUGUUUUCUCUGAGUGAAACCUUGAGUACAGAGCCUACUGACAAAAGCUCAGGAUAUCUCUGACUGGUUUGGAGGAAGUGGCUUGUGAGAUUAGAUAGAGUCUGUGGGUAACAGACUUGGGACUCUGUCCUCCUACUCCUCAGAUCUAAUGGUGAUUGCUUGGCCAAAGGAGCCUCUGUCUCCUUAGUGUCCCAGAUGAUAACCUGGCCGAGAUUUCUCAAAUCUUUCAAAGUGGGUGAUUACACUGUUUGUCAGAGCUGGGAUCAUGUCUCUGUGAUAAGAUUUGCUAGUAUAAUUCAGUGUCUCAACCAGGAGUGUUGGACCACUGCCAUAAUCUUUGUUCUCUUUCCCUACCCCCAUGUGUACAGGAGUCUUGAUGGAGAAGUACUUCAGUGUCUUACCAUAAUUGUAUCCAGAAAGUUGUUUGCAGGUACUUUUCACAGCUCCAGCCCCUUUAGCAUUCUUAUUCUCCAGGCUGGUCACAUGGACUGCACAAGGGUUCAUUCCUUGGUUCAUUCAUGCCAAGCAUGUUAACGAUGCUGGCAAAUUUAGGUGCUGAUACCUUUAAGGAUAACAAGGAAGCCAUUCCAAACAGGCCUCGUGUGGGAAUGAUUCUAGUCUAGCCUAGAGCUGUUUUCCUUUUUUCUGUAGUUGAAUUAUUUGUUCUGCCUUGCAGAACUUCUGCUUGCUGAAGUUCUCUUAAAUACAGGAAACGCAUACCCUGGAGAACAUGAUACUGCUUCCUAGAUAAAAGACCCAACCUUUUGCGAGAUGUGUCAGUGGCCCUCUGCAACACUCAGCAGCCAUCAUGUCUUUUAGUUAUACAUCUAUAACUAAAAAGUUAUAAAAGUUGCUUCAUGCUGCUCCCCAAGCAGGGCCUCUGCUGGUUCUGGGCAGCAAAGGGAAGGGACCUUGUACAUAUUCUAGAACAUGAUAAUUUUUUAAAGUAAGGGAUAGGUGUCAAGCUUUUUUCUAUGUAGUCUCAUUUUCUGUACUCUACAAAUUGCAUGUCAGAGUGAAAAUGUGAGUGAUCCCUUGUGACUAGGAAAGAAAGAGGGAAGGAAUGGAGGUCAGCAGGGCAGAAGCUGAGGGACCUGGGACCUGGGGGAUGUGCACAUCUCCUAUUGGGUGCUUCAGACCUCCGUGCCAACAUUUUGCUGCUUGGCAUUUGCUGUGUCUCUUACGCUCACCAUGCUUUCCUGUCCUUGGGAGCAACACAUGCUUUUCUUGUGGAAAAGUUGGCAGUUAGUACGAUACUUUUGCCCCAAAGAGUGGAUAUCAUUCACAAAGGGUGUUUGGGUGCCUGUCUUUUUAACAUUCUUCCCUUUGUUAGUGGAAAUCACCAGGGAUCGUUGUAUGGCAGAAAUCCUUGGUGUUCUUCAAGUUCAGGUCCAUUGCUAGCUGUCUAUUAUGGGCAACCGAGGUGACGUUUAUGGGUUCUGGAGCUGUCUCAGCUGUCAAGUAGGCUGGCAGAACCAAAAGUUGCAGGAGGCCUGAUCAGUGAAGGCAAGCAUUUGAUUGGAUCAAGCAGAUGAGUAUGUAUAUUUAGAAACUCACCCCAGAGGGAGAACCCUGGCUAAGCCUGCCUGCCCAUCUUUGCUGCAGGUCAGAGCACUCCCAGGCCACAUCCUCUUGUCCUAGGCCAGAUGAGGUCAUUUCCUUAUGUACCCAAGACUGCCUACACCCAACCACUGUUUCCUGUUUUGGGUCAGGAAGUGCAGGUCACUUACUCCUCUUGUGACCUCAGGGUGGCUUUUGCUCAUCGACCAGAGUUUUCUUUUCCUCACAGUUCAAAUCCAGAACAUGUCGUGGACUCCGCCUGUGCCUUCUUCUCUGACCUAAAUCUUUGACAGCCACUGGGAAUUACAGCCCUGGAAUACUGAUUUCAAAUUAUGGAUUUACUGAGUUCUUUGGUCUUGUUUUUAACAAAUCCCCAGCCCCUUGCUUCCACCACUUCUAUCUCAUUAAUAAAUUUUAUUUCUUACAAAAGUAACUCCAUUUCACUAUAUUCAUAAAACACAAAUCCAUCUUUCGACUUACUCCCAAAAAGUAUAAAUUUUGACAGAAUUUUGAAAGCAUUUUUUUCCUAUUGGAGUAGUGUAAUGUCAGAUCUCUGCCGUAUCUUAAAAUGGUGGAAUGUGCUUACAAGUCUAUUUGUGGCAUUUGAGUUUUGCUUUUUUGUUUGUUUGUUUGGUUUGGGGGUUUUUUGUUUUAUUUUGUAGCAGGGACAGAAGGCAUUGAAAUUAAUUGUUGGUUAAAAAAAUCAGCCUAUUUGUAUAAAAGUCGAUUUUCUUCCAGUUUAUAAAAACACAUUUAAAAGCUUUGCCAUUAGUUUAUUUUUCAUAGUGUUUUUACUGACCUAAAAUAUCCAUGAAAAAACAAAACCAUAUAAUGUGUUCAGCAAAAGGUGUACAUAGCCUGUAAACAGCUCCAAGAUAAGGAAAAAAGAUGGAAAUAUUACAAUCUCCCAAAGAUGCUCCAAAGUAUUUUCUUGUUACUCACUACCUAUCUAAGACUGAAUGCUAUCUUGCAUACUACUGGACUAUUCUUACCUAUUUUAAAUCUUGUACAAAUGAAAUCUUGAAGAAUCUCUCCUUUGUAGUCUGACUUCUUCUAUUCCUUUGUGCUUGUAAUAGUCAUCAUAUUAUGUGCAAUUUCCUUGGAAGUGUAGUAUUCUGUAUUAUUUACAGACCACGGUAGGUACCUCUGAUACUGUGGUGGAAGAAUGUAUUUGUUCAUGGCUUUUGGUGAAUGAAUAUCAAUACAUAUUUAUACGUUCUGAACAUAUUUAAUUAUGAGAACAUCACUGAGUAGACAUAACUUAGUUCUGUAUUUUCUCUACUGUUAACCUAAAGGUUGUUAUAUAGGAUGUAACUAUGCAGCCCUGGAAACAUGCAUGCACAUGUGUGCAAAUAUGCACUUAUGUGUGUACAUUUCUGUUGUAUAUGCUUAGAGUGGAAUUGCUAGGUCGUAUUUUUAUGGUACUAUCAGAGCAGCUAUACCAGUCAUAUUUCCAGCAGCAAAAUAGGAAAGUUCCAGUUGUCCCAAGUCUUUACCAGUACUUGAUGGUAUCUUCUUUCUCGUGCUAAUUGUGAUAGAUGCUGUGACCUAAACAUACACUUUUAACACUUAACCUCACGCUCAUUUUUAUAUUAGGCUUUGCCCAUAUUAUUCUCACUAUUUUGUUUGAAAUUCAGUACCGAUAUAUUUAUUGUAAACACUUUCUCCUUCCUAGUCUACAUCCUUUCAGGUUCACCCCUUGAAAGUACUAGCUUUGUAUAAAGUACUGUGGAGGGUGUCUUAUUGCUAGCCAUGUUGAAGUUGGGCCACAUUGAUCAAAAUCACCUACAAAGAACUCCUGAGGUAUUGGUUAUAUAGAGUAGAACAGGAUUUCUUCAGGUUAUCAGCAUAUGAAAACCGGUAUGCAAAAUGAAUUUGAUCUACCUAGCCCAUAUAAAAGACAUACAAUCCUGUUUUUUUUAUUUACAAGCUGUAAGACUAGAUUUGGCAGGCUUUGAGCUAUUCUAGCUUACAUCUCAGCCAUAUGACCCCUGUUACUUGCUAUUUCUCCUGGCCAUAUGCUCAUGAUCCAUUUCCUCUCUUUGUCUCCUUUCUCCUCCGCAGGCUCUUCUCCUUCUCUGUUCUCUCCUCAGACCCAUCACUCAAUCUUCAAGUCCCACCUUCUCUCCUUACUGCCCAAUCACAGGGCCUUUUAUUAACCAAUUAACUUUAAACUGGGUGUAGGGUUGGUGUAUGUGAGGAUCUCAGGACAACCAAAUCUUAGAGGCCAGUAUUUAGCAUUUGAAUACAUAGCAGCACCAGGCCAAACCCCCAACACUGAUACCUUUGGGACACAUCAGGAUAAAAAAGUUAAGUGUUUGCUGUGUGCCAUGUGGUAUUCUAGGAACUUCACAGAGGCUGCUCCAUUCAUUCCUAAAUAAAUCUGGUUUGUUGAGUGCUAUUAUUGUUAGAAACUGCCCAUAUUCUAGAAUCAGGUGUUCCCCCUAGUCCACAUUCAGUGACUCAGUGCCAGCAGCUAUGUCAUCGCCAGCCAUCAAAUGUGACAUAUUUCCACUGUCCAUACAAGUCUUACCCCUAUAAAGUUCUACCAUCAUACCCUCCCUCAUCCCCACUCAGAGGCACCGCCUCCCAAUAAAUCUCUUGCAUGAUAUGACUUUGUGGUAUUCCAUGGCCCUGACCAAGGUACUCUUCCACUUCAAAAUCCUAAGUUACUCCAUAUUGAAUCAAUCAAUCAAUUAAUCAAUCAAUAACUCAGAGAAGCUUUAUAAAUACCCAGAGUCACAAAGCUGGGAUUCUGGCUUACAGAGUGUAUGCUCUUCAUGCUAUUCUGUGCAUUUCAUUGUACAGAACUACAUUUCCCAGCUGUUGUUCUACUAUGGUGCCAGUCUAUGAGUGCUCAGUAAAUACCUCUUGAAGGAAAGAAUUCAACAAUGUAUUGGAUACUCUUUACUGAAUAGGGAAAUUUGUCCUGGCAGUGGGCUGCUAGUAUGAGACGUAGUAGUAUUCCACAGUGCUGUAUCUUUGCUUGCAAUAGUACUUGUCACUGAAUAGACAGAGAACAUUGAUGGAGUGGAAGAAAUCAGUGUACAGGUAAUGGGUCCUGCUUGGUGGAUGUGGGAACUCAGCAGGCAGCAUAAGGACCAAGGCUAAGGCAAGCAUAUCAGUUGGGGCUAUAGAGAUGGCCUGGAAACAUUCAGUCUAGCUCAAGUAUUCUGGUUGUAUAGCAACAGGACAGCCAAGCUUGUGGUCAAAAAUCAAGGUGCUCUAUCAGCAGGAGAGGCCAUCCCACUUAUUGACAGUCAGACUAGUAGCAGUCUCAGCAGGUGUGCAGGGCUAGCAGGAAUUGAGGUCAAGUAAAGAUUUCAAGGUUCGAGGCAGUAAAAUUCAGGGUGGUUGGAGAGAGCCAGGAGUACCAUUGCCAGUCUGGACUUCCCUCCUGAAUAGGGCCUUUCUUCUUGAUACUGUGUAAUCUUAGAGGAAUGUAUUAAACUCAGGAGGAGCCUUAGGUCAGGUUGAACCAGAUGAAGCCCCUGUGCAUAUCCUGUCUGACUCUUCAUUUGAUAGGUGAGGAAAUUAAAACCCCAGUGAGAGGUUAUUCAGUAAUUAGCAGAGCGAGCACUAGAAGCAGGCCCUACGGAGUUUUUCCUACAUUCUUAUGUUUUAUGUCAAAAAUUAAAAGCUGACGAGAGUUGUAGUACUGACAAGGAGGGAAGACUGAGGGAAAGGCUUUAAGAGGUAAGAUGGGUUUUAAUAUGGGGGAGGAGAAGGUAUACAGAAACACCUUGCAGGCUAGAGAGCAGCAGGCUAGGCUGGGAUUGGGAUAAGGAAGCAACUUAGAAAAUAUCUUUAGUCUACAUUCUAGAAUGUAGGUACCACAAGGAUAGUAUCCUUUUCAGUUUUAUUGAAAUAGGACUUACAGAGAAGUAAAACGUGCUAAAAAGUGAGCAGUAGUGUUGAGUAAGAAGUAAGGGUUGUAGUGGAAGGGGAAGCCCUUGGUCCUGCCAAGACUGAACCCCCAGUGAACGUGAUUGUUGGGGGGAGGGUGGUAAUGGGGGGAGGAUGGGGAGGGGAAGCCCAUAGAAGGGGAGGGGGAGGGGCUAGGGGGAUGUUGGUCCGGAAACCGGGAAGGGGAAUAACCAUCGAAAUGUAAAUAAGAAAUACUCAAGUUAAUAAAGAUAAAAAAAUUAUAUUUAAGCUGAAAAAUCUUGAUCCAUACUUUAAACCUAGCAAAGGCAGGUGAAUUUGAGUUUGAGGCCAACCUGAGCUACUUCAUAAUACUCUGUCUAAAAACAAACAAACAAAUAAAUUUGUGUUCAUUUACCAAAAAGAAGAAGAAGAAGAAGAAGAAGAAGAAGAAGAGGAAGAGGAAGAGGAAGAGGAAGAGGAAGAGGAAGAGGAAGAGGAAGAAGAAGAAGAAGAAGAAGAAGAAGAAGAAGAAGAAGAAGAAGAAGAAGAAGAAGAAGAAGAAGAAGAAGAAGAAGAAGAAGAAGAAGAAGAAGAAAGGGUUGUACCUAGACUUACCUGAGACUUUCAGGCUUCUCUUUCUGCAGAGCCUGGGAAAAUGUAGGACUGGAGACCCAAAGAAAGAACUCCUAAGAUGCUCCCGUGUCAGUAUCCACAACUUCCCCUGACCUGGGGACCAACUUUCAGGGAUUCUCAAGUAAACAGUGACAUCACAGUGCACCUGGCCUCCACGUGAUAUUCUAAGAGUUUCUGUGUAUUUGCUCAUUGAAACUUAACAGUAACUGCAGAGUAACUGUUAGAUUUGACAGACGAGGAAACCGAGUCUCAGGUAUAAUAUCUUUCCCUCAGAAGUAUGCAGAAGCAGAAUGUGUUUGCCAGUUUGAGGAUUUGGCACCAGUACCAUGUGUAGGGCUUCUGGAGCUUAGCAUCUGACUGACUGGUUACUAGAUUUUACCCUGUUGAAGUAGCUGACCUGGUGUUUCAGGAAGGGGCCUGCUGUCAUCUGUAGAUGACUUGUCAAGUAGGAAAAAGUGACCUCCAGCAGAAAAAGCCGCAAAGCUUCUCAGGCAGGGGUCAGGCCAUCCAGAAUCCCUGGACAUUUCCUGCUAAGGGUCACAAGGACCUUACCUUAGCCUUACCUAGUGGGGACACUGAUGCCUGGCCCUCAUGCUACUGUUCUCCAAUGGCUACUUUCUCUGACCCUCUCACACCUGUGAAGUUUAGUGCAAUGAGUGGGGAAUACCUGGAGAUCUAGGGUCUAUCCUCAGUUCCCUUUGAACUAUUCAGAGACUUUGGGCAUUUCCAGGUUCCCGUCUGCAGGAGAAGGUUGGUUUGAAUAGUGGUUUCUAAAGGAAAUAUAGAACAUUAUCUUCAAACAACAUAUUAUUUAGAGAUAGAGAAUAUAAAACAAUAAAAUAAAUAUAGAUUUUGAAAGAAUAAGAAGAGGAAGAGAUGGACUAGGAAAAGGAGAUCAGUUCAUUAGACUUGGUUCAGAAUCACAGCUCGUGCUGUUGUCCUUUUUCUGCCCUUUUCUAUAUAUGGCUUCUGCCCCUCAACUUUGUCUUUGUUCUGUCUAGUUUUAUGGAGGGUUUUGAAUUCCUCUGAGUCUUAAGCUUCUCCCUUCUUGUGGAAUCUCACUACUGCUGCUGAUUUCUUUAGUUCUAAAUUCCUAUUGCAUUUAUCAACCGUUCCAUUUACUUAAUUCUACAUAUUGCCUAUUGAUUGCCUUAAAAAAUGCAUAGGGUUUUUUGGUUAUAUAUACACAGCAUGCGUUGAAAUUUGCAUUUGUACAUAUGUAUCUACAUCUCCAUAUGUAUGAAUUUAUAAAUGCACAAGGACUUGCACAUACAGGUCCUUAAAGAAGAACCAUGUGUUAGAAUCCAUAAAGCUGUACCAUGAGACAUGUCUUAUGUGAGAGGAAAGGGGGGAGGGGGAGGAGGAAUAGGGUCUUUUAUCAUGGGAUGUAGCACAUGCACAGAAUGUGGACAUGGGACACGAGGGGACAGUGGGAAUGUCUUACCUCUCCAAUAGCAUGUCCUGUUGUUGCUGGGUCCCUUGGGCUGGCUGUGGAAGUGCCUGAUUACUAACACCAUGAACUUUGUUCCCUAGUGCCUGAUAUAUAAUCAAAAUGGCUCACCAGAAAAAUUUUGUAAUCAUUGAGUUGUUUUCAGUGGUAUCCUAAAUAUCUUGUACAUUUCAGAUACUCGAUUAAGUAUGAUUGCUUAGAUGGUGAUUUGUAUCUGGGAAGUCUUGGACUUGACUUGCUUCUGUCUUGGACUAACUUUGAAGUCCUUAGGACACAUAUGUAACUUCUGAGGUUGGAGUGAGGUGCUGGCAUUCCUGAGGUACUUACUGAAGGCACUAUUCUAGUUACUGGGAAUUCAGCUGUUUGUACAACAGUAGUCCUAUGGUAGAGCUUAUCUACAGAAAGAACCCCGACGUGCUUCCAUGUAUCCACAGCUUCCUGUGCCAGUGCUGACCUGGGGACCAGCUUCCAGGGAUUCUCAUAGGGUAGGUAUUUGUUUUUAUUUUCUAAAUUGAUACAGUGUUUUGUUCACAUUUAUGGAAUAUAGUGUAGAAUACAUGUGAUCAAAUCAUAAUGAUUAGCGUUUUUAUGUCCUCAAACAUUUAUCAUUUAUUUUUAUGUGUCUUAGGGUUUCCAUUGCUAUAAGAGACACUGUGACUAAGGCAACUCUUAUAAAGGACAUCAUUUAAUUGGGGUUGGCUUACAGGUUCUAAGGUUCAGUCCAUUUUCAUCAAGGUGAGACGCCCAAUAACAUCCAGUCAGGCAUGGUCCAGGAGGAGCCCAGAGUUCUACAUUUUGAUUAGAAGGCAGUAAAAAGAAGUCUGUGGGGCUGGGGAUUUAGCUCAGUGGUAGAGCGCUUACCUAGGAAGCGCAAGGCCCUGGGUUCGGUCCCCAGCUCCGAAAAAAGAAAAAAAAAAAAAAAAAAGAACCAAAAAAAAAAGAAGUCUGGCAAAGUUUAUCCCCACAUUGACAUACUCUCUCCAACAAGACCACACCUAUUCUGAUAAGGACACAUCCUAAUAGUAUCUUGUAGGCCAAGCAUUCAAACACAUAAAUCUAUGGGGGGGCGGGGGACAAACCUAUUCAAACCAUUGUCUUUUUUCCAUCCUUCUCCUUCUUCCCUUCUCAGAUCCUGGAAAUCACUGUUUUGCUCUCUAGUUACCAAUUUUUAAAGCUCUUAUCUAUGAGUGAGAAUGUGUGCUACCUGUCUCUCUUUUCUGGCUUAUUUUACACAUAAAAUUAUGAUGACUAUUUUCAUCCAUUAUUGUUAAAAAAAUUGUAGUAUCAAAUUAUUUUUUAAGACUAAAUAGUGUUCUAUUGUGUAUAAAUACUACAUUUGUUUAUCCAUUUCUCCAUCAUUGGGCACAGAGGUUAAUUUCCAGUUUUAGUUAUUGUGAAUAAUGCUACAGUAAACACAGGAACUGUAAGCAUCUCUCUACUAAGGGUGAUUUUUGAGUGCGUUGAAGUUGACCUUUCCUUCAGCUUCCUUAUCUACAAAGUGAUGAUGAUAUUAAUAAUACUUACCAUAGGGUCAUGGAAAGUAUUGAAUGUUCAUAGACAGGCUUAAAACAGUGCUUUAUUAAUCUUACAUACUCUUUGUCAGUAACUCUUAUUGUCUGUUACAUUUUGUGGCAUUGGUGGGCUUGUCUGACUUGUAUGUGGUCCUGGACUUGUUUAUAAAUAAGAUGUGCCUUACAUUUCUUAUUGCCUGUCCUUAUCUCAAUGCUUGUUGUCUAGUGAACAUUCUGUUAAAAAAAAUUGAAGGAACUGUGACCUUAGGAUGUAGGCAGAAAUGAGUGAGAAAGAUUGAGGUGGCACUGGAGCAGACAAUUUGUAGGAAAAUGAAGGGGAAAUGAUAGAAGGGCAGAUUUGGACCAAAUGAUGGCAGGUAGGUUUGCCCCUGGGGAAUUGAGUAUAGGAAAGAUGUGAAGGGUCACGAUUAUAGAAAAGUUGCUGAUAGAAGUUUCUAGACUGAGUUGUAGGAGAGAGCCUGGCCAUAGCAAGGUGGUUAGGAGGGUUCUGGGACACAUGGCUACAAGUCACGAGCUGUGUGGGCAGGAACAUUCUGCCUGCUCUCGCUCUCCCUCCUCCUUAGCUCAGUACUAGAGGAAACCGUAACCUUCUCAUUAUGUCUAUCCCUGACUGUUCCUGGGCCCCAUACUUUUCUAUGUCUUAUUCACCCAGACAUACCUUGUGCACAUUCCCAGGUUACCACACCUUGUGCUUCAUGAGUCCUUGUACCAUAGACCCAAUGCUGCUUUAGUCCCUCUCACUCUCCAGCCUCUCUGUUUCUAUUAUUUUCAUCUUAAGUGAGAACACUGAGGCAUCUAGAAGUAGGCCAUAUGCUUUUAUUUGUUAUUCUCACCAAAGACAAGCCUUUUCCCAAGUCCCAGGAGCUAGACCCCAGGAGAUGGUGUGAGGAGGAAUUGGAGAAGCCUAAGGAGACAAAGCUUGGAAGACACUCAUGACCUGGGUGCUCAUUUUGUUUCUGCCUGGCCACAGUGCUCUCAGCUUUUGCUUGUCUCACUGGUUCUGAAAUACAUUGAAUUCAGGAUGAAUUCUAUAUCCUCAUGGUGGUUGUGGCCAGAAGCCUGGUCCCAGCUUCUACUGGCUACUAUGGAGUGGUCAUACCUCCUCCCUAUGGUACUGGGCUCUGUCCUAACAUCUUGUGGUUCUGGCCACUGUUGUUUGAAGGUAAACAGAAAAAUAGGGAUAUAUCUUUAAAGGAUAUAUUGGCACAUAAGAAGUUUCUAUUAGCCUUCAAUUAGUGCCUCCUAGAUACAGGAACCUGCUGUAAUUUACACACAGAGUUGAGAACACCAUUGCUUCUGCUUAAGCAAUGGUGUGUGAUGAGAACAGACAUUUAUUAAAUGUUUAUUGUGGGCUGGGCACCAUGCCAAGCACCAUGCAUAGAUAUCUCACCUACAUCUUAGCCUUUCGCUAUGGCUGUUUGCCACAGAUCUUAUUAGUGCUGCUUCAUGGAUGAAGAAGAUCUCAUGGAUGGCUUCGUGUAGCACAACCAAUGUGAGCCUUCCUGACCUCUGACCCUAUUUACCAUUGCACUCUCUGCUUCCGCUCAUACUAUGGAUGCCAGAGAGGAGGGAUUAGAUUUGGAAGUCUCGGGUUAAGUUUAUUAUGGAAUUUUUUUUUUUGGUUCUUUUUUUCGGAGCUGGGGACCGAACCCAGGGCCUUGCACUUCCUAGGCAAGCGCUCUACCACUGAGCUAAAUCCCCAACCCCUUAUUAUGGAAUUUAAGCCAUUUGGCUGAUCUCCUUUUUUUUUUUUUUUCAUUCACUUACUCGUAAACUAAACAAUUUUAUACUUAUAUAUUUCACAAGACAUCCUUAAGAGAGUAAAUCCUAAUUUGCCAUGAAAGUAUUUCACACACUACUUUAAUUAAUUUAGUAAAAAUAAAAAUUACUUAAAAGUAUAACAUUAUAAAAGAAAGGUUCAGAGGCAUUGUUUUACUCUGGUGUGUGUGUGUGUGUGUGUGUGUGUGUGUGUGUGUGUGUUUAGUAUUGAUGCACACCAGGGGUUGUAAGGUAUGUAAAUAAGGAACUGUUGAUCUGGGAAGGGCGCAGCCAGCCCUGUGAAGUGACUGCCUGUUGAUUGCCAACUGUGCCUCCGUGACAGGCUCACAGUUCUGACCUAUGUAGUAGGACCAGCUGUGUGAGGUGGCAAAUAUUUCCAGCAGCCCAAUGUGGAGUGAAUCAUGAAGUCAUGUUCAUUGUGAGGUGGUUGCUGUUUGGUUAGAUUAAAAGCAUGGGGAAGCAAGUUAGAUACUUAGUCUUAAUUAAAGGCUCUGCUAGGAGAGGGGCAAGGACAGAAUCCAUGUCUAAAGGCAGUGGCAUGAAGUUGGACACCUAGAAAGAGUUCUACACAAGCAGACUUCUACUGUCCCACAUUCCUAGUGCUGGUAUCAGUAAGGAACAGGGUCAUGGGCCAGCAAGAAGGAUUAUGAGGAAGGCAGCCUCUGCCCAUGCUCCUUCUGCAGGCCUUAAGGCUAUGGCUAUGUCUUUGGGUCUAAGCAACCUCCAAAUAACUGAAAGUAGGGAGUAUGCCAUGGUGAACUUUUCUUCAUCUUCUUGCCCAAGGUAUAAUUUUAUUUUAACGUCUUACUUGGUUCUGUGUAAGUAAAAAAGGAGACAAGAGGUGCAGUCUUGAGUGCAGUGAAAUGCUGGGGCAGCUUGCUGGAACAGACUUUUUAUAUAAAGGUGUAGCUUAUAGGCUGAAAGUGUCUAGUUAGUAGAAUCUUGGCAUUUUGUAAUUCUGAAUAUAAUGCUUAUAAGUAAGCCCCAAAGAAACUGUCCUGUCUUCCCUUCGCUGUGUUUACUGGUCCAUUCAUCCAGUAGAUGGUUGCUGGAGAUAGUUAUGGCCUACUUGAUAAGCUUCGGGCGCUAUAAGACACAGUUCAAGUUCAUGCAAAGCAUCUCAGCAGUGAGACUGUUUUAUAACUGUCCCUAAAUCAUGUUAGCUCUGGAAGCUAUUUUAGGAAUGCCUUUGGUUAUGAACCAUAUCUUAUAUUUAAUUUUGAUUCUCUUUUCCCUCCUGCCCUGGAUUUGGUAGCAGCACUAACAAACACUGUAUGCCUGGCCUUGUCUUAGUUGUGGGAGGUACUUAGAGCUCACCAGUUCAUCCAAGCUGCCACCUACAGUCAUCAUGACCUUGGACCUUGGACCUGAGUUUCAGUCUCCGGUUCUGAAGUGCCAGGACGAAGACAGCGAAGUGGAGAACUUUGCUGCUUUUUGAUCUUGGGUCUGUUUGUGCUUGUAAUAGACUUUCAGACUACCCAUGAUAUAUAAAAAUGUAUGAAGCUCUGUCUUCCCACCUGUUUUUUUUUUUUUGAAACUAAGAAUGGCUCCUUCCCCUUCAUCUACUACCUUACCAUGUAAAUUCAGCAUUAUAUUGUCUCCUAGCAGAAAUUAUAGUGUACAGCCAUAGGAAACUACCGGAAUCUCGAGGGUUUGAUUUGCUCGGUAAGAGUUGGUUUGAUUUUGUCAAUGUAACAGGACAUCUGAUAUCUGUGCCUGUGCCUAGAGUUGGUACAAAGGAAAAGGAAGUCAAAUAAAACAUCUCUUAGAGAUGAUUUAGGCUUGUACUAUUUUUAUGGAAAAAAGAUAAUUUUAGCAGAAUCUUCUAGAGGGUGAUAUGAGUGCUGGGGUUUGUGGCUCCAUAGGUUGGUCCUUCUGCUAUUGCUUCUCCCUUUCUAGAAGUGAGAGUUGGGAGACAAAGAGGUUCUGACCAAAGGAAGGGGACAAUAAUAGAAACCUCAGAGGACCAGUGUGGCACGAAAGGAGCUCUGUAGCUAUUCCCAGUGGGCUGUGGAAUGUAGGAGCUGUCCUUUUGACAGGAAGUCCCAUCUAGCAAGUACUCAUGGGACCUGUAGUUAAGUUAGCUUUAGAAAGACUGACAGUUCUAAAGCUUGUCCAGGCCUACCUAUGCAAAGCUCCAGACUCACUGGCAGCACCAGCUGAGCUCCAUGGGACAUGAGAUGUCAUGGCAACACUAUCAAAUUCUAGAUUUUAUAUUGGCAUUUGGAGAAGAGAGAAUAAUCAUUGUCACAAGCUUGUAACUUAAAGAAAGAGUGCACUGCACACAAGAAUUCAGCAAUGGCUUUUUUUUUUUCCGGUCCUAAGGAUUGAACUUAGGGCCUUAUGUAUGCUAGUCAAGAACUCUACCACUGAGCAGGAGAUAUUGGGGGCAGGGAGGGGAGUUUCAGGGUAAGAAGGGAGAGUCGAGGCAGCCACAGUACCUCUGCUGAAGAUCAGAAUCUGUGAGGCCUUAGGUGGCUAGGCCAUUUCAGAAGUCUGUCCUAGUCUUAGUCCCAGUUAAGAGGGGGGAAAGUAAGCUAGAAAUAGAUAAGAAGGCUACUGAUGAGCCAAGAAUGCUUGAAGGCCAGAGGAGGUGAGGGGGUUGUUUAACACAUUAUUGUGUAUUUUGAAGGGUUCUACUCUUGGAGCUGUGAAAGCCUUGAGUGGGGUAUCAGGUGGCCACUCCUUUUGUGGAUUCCACGGUGUUCACAUACAAGCAAACAGCUACCUUACAGUUUUGCUGUAGCAAUGGUGACACUUUGGAUAAACAUCAUUUAGCAAAUAUCCUAAGUACUUUAUUUACAGUACAGGGACUCAUCACAGCACUCAGAAGUGUGUGCUGAGCUUGUUAGGCCAAAAGACUAAUUACCUACUCAGGACUCUCCUACCUUCAAUACAAAUACAAAGCCAGUUCUUCUUGGUGCAAGGUAAGACCAGAUGAUAUUGAGGAUUCCUUUAAAACACCUGAAUUCUUUUUUUUUUUUUUAUUUUUUUGGUCUUACGCAUUGAACCCAGGACUUCAUGUUUCUAGGUAAGCAUUCUUCUAUAAAGUUAUCUCUUAAGCCCAAAUCCUACGAUUCUGAAGGCUCUGACUGGAAGGCCACUCUAAGUCAUUUGGAAGGCAAUGGGAGAUCAUUGUGCUUUAGAGCAGGAAUGGUGAUGGUGCUCUAGGGACCUCACUGUGAUUACUGUUUUGUGGCUACAGGGUCGUUGUGAAGGUUUUGAUUAGGAAGGUUUUAUGAGCAAGAGAAUCCAGUGGCUCUUAGGAAAAGGCUUUUCUGGUUAAGAAGGCUGGUGAACCCCAGACUUAGCAUUUCAAUACCUUCUGCUUUCUUUUUCCAGCCUCUGCCCUAUAAUUUGGGCUCAUAGAAGCUCCAGACCCUAGAAACUCCUUAAUUGUGCCUUCAGCUUCCUCCCUAACUCUGCCUCUCCAGAAGGUACAAGCACGUAAAGUUCAUGUAUUCAUCUAGAGAGGCAAAACGACUUGAACCAUCUUGUUUUUGAGGUCAGGUGAGACCAAAGAACUGGCUAUACUUCAUUUCCUAGGUCAUCUGCCUCUGCCAAUGGUAGAGUUCCUCACUUUAUGUUACCUGCGCAGUUCACUGGGAUAAAUGAAUAGUCAUUGUUUUUGCAGAUCUUUCCUUCUAAAUGCUCACCUUGGCCUCCAAAGGAGUUGAAGUUUUCAGAGGGAGGUUGGUGUAUGCUCCUUGCUUCUCAUUUUGCAGGGUAUCAGGGGAGUUUAAAGUGAGAUAACUAGUCUUCAAAGUAUGGUUGGCAUUGCUGCUCAGCCUUUGAGGGGAGAACAAUGGUCUUAGAGCAGAUUCUUAGGCCUAGCUUAAGAAUACCAUCCCAGAGGGCAUCCAGAGAAGAGUAUUGCUCUCUCAUAUUCCUUCCUUCUGUAAUCAUGAGAUUUCCUUACUCUGGUUAACAGCUCUCUUCCCUCAAACUUUAGAACAUAUCUCACAUCAUUAAGCAAUUUGUGGAACUGUGCUUUGGAUAGGAUUUUUACAUUGUGAAUAUAAUUAUAUAAAUAUACCUAUGGUACUAUCCUAAAUGAUUGUGCUAUCACGUUAUAGAUGGUCUAUAGCCCAUUGCCUGUCCAAAUGAUGGCCUUGGCCCUUGAAUUCUUAACUCUGAUCUAGCUCUUCAGGCUUAUGCUUGGUUAUGCUAUGUUCCUGUGCCCUGACCAUAUUUGAUAACUCUUCUCACAUCCUCUGUCUUAGGCUGUGGGUCUGGAAAAUGCUGCCCUGGAUUAAGACUAAAGCAGUAUGGAAUGAAAACUGAAGUUAGGGCUGUAUGUGUUCAUGAGUCUUGAUGUCUAGAUCUGACCCAGUGAAACAAAGAAGGAUUUGUUCUUUAAUAGUUUUCCACUUUAAAAUCACAUGUCACUAAGCUUGUCUGGUCACAUAGGCCAGCAUAUUUUAGAGAGUAUUCAGUUGUCCAGUUUCUAUGCUCUAGAAACAUCAACCUGUAUCCAUAGCAGGCAAGACCUUCAAAUCUGCGGCCUAGUCUGUUCUAUGGGACCGGCUGUAGUCUACUGUUGAAGAAAGGAAUACAGAUCUCUAGUUCUGCUCUACAUGGUCCAGCCACUAAAAGGACCAGGAUUUUAAGAGUAGCCAGCUAAGAGGUUCACAGGAAGUGGGCCUUUGGGCCCUGCAGGUCAAUGGCCAGCAGGUAUCAUCAGGAUAGCAGGUACUAUGGGAUUUUACUUGUAGCCCAGGAAUAGGACAACGGCAGGGAUUUGUGGUUUAAUGACCAGUAGCCUGGGAUUCCUAGAUCCUUUGGCUUCUUUCACUGUCAUAUAAGGUGCUGAGAAAUAGCAUUGGUAGGAAGGACACUUUGGAACCUACAUUUCUGGGUCUGGGAGACAGAGUGACUCAGCCUGUACAAGAGAAAGUACCUGCUUGAGAGCAGAGAGCACACUGGUCACAGUGUCUGCUAUCCCAGUCCUGAUCUUACCCCAAACAUGCCUCCUUCUUAUACAGGCCUUACCCGUAUUCUAUAAGGGGCUCUGGGUGUUGCUGAGUUCAACUCUGUUUGUGUUGUGAAUUUAGAACCUGGCAUAUCUACCAUACAUAGUCAUCAUCCUGCCUUUUCCCUUUGGUCUUCAAGUCUCACCUGUCUUGGGCCUGAAUACACUGGAUUUCAGUUUGUCUUGUCUGGUUAUUUUUAUAAAUAAGAAACGAGGUGUUUGUGCCUGGUCAGUACUUGGAUGGAAGACCAGAUAAUGCUAGAUAUUACAGGACUAUAAAGCUCUUGUAAGAUGUGUAAAAUCAUCAGCAAUGAUAGUUGGCAUCCAUUGAACUGUUUUCUUUGGGUUGAGCUUUGGGCUGAGUGAUUUUGUGUUGUUUCUAAGAAAAAACCACUGAUCUACAGAUGAACUUGGAGCUAGAAGUAUAAAAAAGUUGAGUUGUUCAAAUUUAACUAAUAAAUACGAUAAUUUACCAGUCUGUGUACUUAACAAAUGUUUAUGGUAGGUCAAUAUUGCUUCAAUAGGUCAGUAGUUUUCAUGGUAUCACUAUUAUUAAUUUCAGCAGUUUUUGAAUACUUACAGUACUGGGCUUUCCGGUUCUAUAGGAUAGAUUAUCCCUAUUUUGCUGAUUAGGAAAUGAAGGCUUAGAAGACCAAGGUGACUUACUUUAGGUUGCACAGAUAAGUAGUAUAAAUUGGGAUUGGGCACAGUUAUCUCUAGAAUUCUUAGUCUGCAUUCUAAAUCCUUCUGUUGUUGCCCACAUAAACUAAGACUCGUUUUCUACCUGUGCCUUUCUUCUUGCUUCUUUCUUUAGCUUUUGAUGCUUUUCAUAGCUUAUUUUUCUGCUCUUCCUAUUUUCCUUUUCAGAUUAUGUCUGUCCAAGUGCAGCUUACUGCACGUAAUUGAUUCUUCAAUUUGUGCUUGCUUAAGCCUUAUAAUAGGACCCCUACUGCAAGGAUUGGCCCACUUUUCUCCCCUCUUUCUCCUCUCUCUCUCUCUCUCUCUCUCUCUCUCUCUCUCUCUCUCUCUCUCUCUCUCUUCCCACCCCCCCGACUCCCUCUCUCUUGUGCUGGAGAUUGAGCACAAGACUUUACAUAUACUAGACAAGCACUCUGGCACUGGUCUAAAUUCAAAACCUCCUCCCACUCCCCUUUGAACAUAACACUUUGUAGCAUAGGCCAGCCUCAAACUUAUGAUUCACCUGCCUCUACCUUCCAAGUUAUGAAUUAUAGAUUUAUGCUAUCAUGAUGGCACUAUAUUAUUUUCAACUAAAGGAAAGUAAUAGAAAGCCUAGUAGAUACAUACAUGUGGAAACCCCUGCUUUAUGACAAAGAUAUUUAUGUACUGAUUAGAAGCAGGGAGUAGAUAGACAUUUUGAUGACAAAAAAAAAAAAACACUGCUAGUUCAGAGGGAUAAGAUUGAAGGAAAAAUUAAUCUAGAGCGUAUAAAAUAAUGAUCCAGCAAUAUAAAUGUAAAUGUUAAAAUAAAGCUUCACGUACAAGCUAAGACUAUCUUCAUGAUCUUGGGCUAGACAUUCAGUUCCUAAAGAUGGCACAGAAAGCCCUUAGUAUAAAGAAAAGGCCUGAUAAUUUGGAUGAUUUUAAAAUGAAAAACUUUUAUUAUUAUGACCUCAGUAAAAGGUCAAAAUAACAAGCAACAAGGCAUAGCACCUGAGGGAGCUGGAUUACAUCUAGAAUAUGUGAUCCUUCAGGAAAAGGACUCCCCUUCUAACUCCCAGUGAGCAGAAGAAUGUUCUGCACGUAGGAUCAUGAGUCAUAGACCAUUCCUUCUACAAUUUCCUGGUUGUAAUCUGUGGAUCUUGGAUUAUCGGUUUCUGCUGGCCUCAGACCCGCCUUCCUCUUAUGUACGGACACCAGGCCUUUCCCAUGCUGGCUCGCCCAGCUGUGCCUCUUUUGUUAUGAAUGUUACAUGUCUUUAACUUUCCUUUGGUGUAUAAACUUUGAUCAACUAUUCUAAGAAUUUUUCUCUCUAGCUUCUUUUCCCCGCUUCCUUUUAAAUUUCCCUUUUGUACCUUCUUUUUGAGCUACCAUAAAAUUUCUCAAAAGACUUUGGGAGAGCAAGCUUGUUCCAUGGUACUCUGGAGGCAGAACAAAGACCAAAAGGCUCAUAUUUACCUGUAGAGAAGUUUGGUCAUUGCUGUGCUCUAGUUGUCCAAGUUCUCUAAAGAAGGAUCAGAGUUACUGAGUCACAGAGAGGCAGAAUAAUAUCUCGGUUGCAGUGUUUUCUAUGGAGGGCCCUAUGCCUUGGAUGGUGCUAGAUUAUGAUAACCGUCUUCUGGUCUUACAUAUCUACAGGGGUAGCCCUCGGUGGGAGACAGAGCCAGUAUAGUAACAUGAUCCCUCUCCACUUGUAGAAGUUUACCGUGGGAUUCAAAUGCUGGUACUUUAAUGGUAUCGUGUCUACUAACAACCAUUUUUAAUACAGCAUUCUACUUGUAUCCAUCAACGAUUGAUCUGAAAGCUUUGAUUACCUUUGCUUUCUUCAAUUGGCAAUAAUGGUGUGCUGUUUUUCUUUUGUGGCAUAUUCUUCAAUUUGUUGCAUUUUUCUCUGGCAGUACUUGUUCUCCUUGGUAUUACACACUCAUUAUUGAAUCCGUAAGCACCUUGGAAGUUUUGCAGGUGUAUGUGGAUUUUACAAGGUUUUUUUGGUAGUGUUUGAAAACUUGGGAGUUUAACAUAAACCUAAAUUUCCCUUUUAUAUGAAAAGUUGGGCACUCUGGACUCUGUGAUAUCCAUUUCUAAAUAUCUUUGACCACACAGAGCUGGAGAGGCUGCCUACAAAGACUGGCAUAUGCCUUUUUCUUGGGGUAUUCUUUCCUAGUCUGCUUCUCUUCUUUAUUACUUGCCUGGCUGGCAGACAUUGUAGUUGGUUACUUAAAAAAAAAAAAAAAAAAAAAGGAGAAACUGGACCUCUAUGGGCUAGCCUGAGGAUCGAUCAGUUUGUUUUGCUAUUAGUUCACUGGAAAAACAAAUUCAAACUUUUUAAGAGUAGGCUUUUUUUUUUUUAAUAUCCAUAGUGCAGAUUUGAGAAUGAGUUAGGAUUCUAAGCUGGCAAAUCUGUCUGAGGUGCUGGCCCAUUUCCUCUACUUCUAUAUUGUGUGUUAGUUUAACACUUAAUAAGUACUUCACGAAUGCUUUACCUCCUGAGGUCACAGCAAUUUGUCUACUCCCAGGUUCUUAGCAGAAAUGCUCACCACAUUUUCUACCUAGCUGGUUACUUCCACAGGAGACCAGAUUUGUGUGUAGUCUAUCUGGAAUAUACACUCAGGCCCCAACUGUUCCAAGUGUGUGUUAAGUUCUUGCACAGCUCUCCUCUUUCCCCUAAGGAUCCAAUCUUCCCGAGAUGGGCCUGAUGAGAGAAUAGAAAGGCAGGAACCUAGUUUUGCCUACUAAUGCAGCUAAUGGAGUUUGUAACCAGUACAGAGUACAUGCAGUCCACACCUUGGACAAAGAUAGGUCAAAGUUUAGCUCCCUCCCUUUAAAGAAAAAAAAAAGCAUCUUUUUUUUGGGGGGGGGGGCCAUUUUAAAGUUUUGACCCAUAUCCUCUGGAAGCUAAGGAGAGCUCACUGUGUCUGGAGAGUUUGUUUAGUUCCCAAGGCCUAUAGUUGUUGAAGAGCUAGGGAACCUGGUGCUAUUGGGCAAGAGCUAACACCCUUCCUUUUCGUGUUCCCAGGCAGGCCUCUGAGGGUAGACAGCAGAGCCUCGUAUCCUGUCCCUGCGCAGGAGUUAUCUUUACCCCCUGAAAUCAAAUACUACACAUAGCACCCUGUAAAACUGCUUCCUUGUAAGCUUCACUGAGCUCACUAAGUAAACAUCCACCCAUGCUUUUGGAACUGAAUUCAUUUCUGCUUCCUGGUCAUCCCUUGUUUUUUCUGUUCUCAGUGCCCCACAGAAUCAGGUUAUUGCAAGAAAGACCUAGAAUUGGUCAAAGGCACCUAAGAUGACUGCUUUAACCUCAGUAAAAUUCUGAGGAGGGUAAACAGGCUUGUGGGAAGAAAAGUUUUCCUACACGGUGUCAUCAUACUUUGUAAGUCACCACUGCUGUCACGGCCAUUUCUCUAUGAAGACUUCAGCACAGUCUUGCUGUGGUUGUAGACCACAGUGGCCUCACUCCUUAAGUUCUAGGGCUAUGGUUGGCCUUAGCCUGAUCCCCUGCACCUCCUGCUUGUUUCUCAUGAUUUACCUCUUGUCACUUCUACCCACAAUGACAUUCCUAUUGCCGAGGCACUGAGGAGUCGACAUAUCCUUCACCAAGUUCAUGAAAUUAUGACAUCCUCCUGUGCUGAGCCUACUUCCUUCAAGUCCCCUUCUGAAAGAGAAGGCCCCUUGGCAGGGCUCUUUGUUUAUUUGAUCCUGGGCUCAUGGAUACAUCUGGAAUGUCCUGACAUGAACUUAGGCAUGUUUUUUGUUGUUGUUGUUUUUGUUUGUUUCCCCUCCGCCCUUGAGAAGGAAAUUGGAAAAUGGGGAUCUGGGUAAGCAGAGGACCAUUCUGGGGGGCUUGCUUUAAGUGACAUCAAAGCCAUAUGCCUGCCUAUGGUCAUCAGACCGGUAGGUAACUUCUUUAUUGGCAUACACUACCCCGCAGCCCAGAAGGUGUAAAUCUGAAGCACUUUCCCCUUGCUGAGAGCCUGGCACAAAUGCCUUGGGCUUCUUUUAAAACCAGGGAAUACCAGGCUGUCUUCCAGGUGGUCCUCCUCUCUGCUGGCUGCAGUGUUGGCCAGGGUGAUUGUGUAAAGGCUGUUUGGGGUAGUUGGUAUGGAAGCGGUGAUUGCCUGGCCUCCUGUUCAUCUUCCUGAAAGUUGCAAGAUCCUGAUAUGAUGCAUUUUAUGAAUCAGUUUAUUGCCCCAGGACCUGAACACAUCUAAAACAUCUAGUUAGAAGCUGGCGUGGAAAACAUUUAUAUAUAUAUAUAUAUAUAUAUAUAUAUAUAUAUAUAUAUAUAUAUAUAUAUUGUGUGUGUGUGAUAGUUGGAACAUGAACCUCGUUGAGUGUGUCUAGUUAUGUAGGGCUCAUUGAAUUAGUAUCUGAGCUGUUCUUGGUAGCAUGGUCAGGAGAGGGGGUGUUAGACGGUGACUUUGCUGCUGUUGAGAGCUGUCACUGCCCCUGAAGCAUCAGUGGAACUCUUCUCAUAAGAGUUUCCAGGUAUGUGGAUGUGUUAAACUAUUGCCCAAGCACUGAGGGUCGGGCUGAUGGAUAUUCAUCUUGGCUUGUUACCCAUCCUAGGGAAGAACCUGGUAUUGGCUACCUUAGGUCUAGGCUUGGCUGUCACUCUGUUGUCUUUUACGUUGUCAGAAGGAACUUCUUGGGAACAAAUGACUCAGCAACAAAUUUCAGACUGUGUGGCCUACGUGCUUUCUGGGCAGGAAUUGGACAUACCUAACUAGAUUAUAAAAUGGUGAACAGUGAAUGAAUGGAGGUACAUUACACUGGAUUUCUUCAGGCUGCUAUUUGGUUUGUGUUUUAAAAUACCUGACCUGAUAGAAGGAUCUCAUUUGUGAAGUAAGCAGACAACGUUUUAAUGAUGCAUUUUAUCCUUAGGAAAUUCAGGAUAUAAAGUCCUGAUUUCAUACCCCAAAACAAAACAAACAAACAAGCGAAAUGAACAAAAAAAGGGAAGAAAGAAAAAGAAAAAGGCAAAAAUGAUAUCAGAAAAACAGCCAUGGUUGAAAUUUUGGACUUGUCUGUGACAGAAAGAGUUAAUGAAAUGGUGGUCUCAUGGUGAGGACUGUUUUAGCCUAUGGCUAGUAGAAGCCCAUGUGGCUCAUAAAAAAAUGAUGCAACAUUUAGUACAGGACAGCCCGGGCUGAUGUGAGCCCUGGGACCUGCCAUUCAAAGAGUUAAAGCUAGUCUUAUUCCCAGGAAGCUCAAAGUGAAGAAGAGAGGCUGCAGAAAUAGGGACCUGCGUGUUUCCGGAGCUGUUAGGUAUGAAAAAGAAAAAAGGAAAAAAAAAAAAAAACAGGCUAAAAUGUGUGGCCAAGAAAACAGAAUGUAGGUCCAACUUUUUUUUUUUUUCCUUGUUUGACCAGCCUUGGCACUGCCCUCUGCCUCUCCAGGGGAAAAGCUGCAGUUCUGCUCCUGCAACACAAGGAGCAGACUGGAGAAUUUAGAUCUGCGUCACAGAGCUCAAAGCAGAGAGAGAGAGAGAGAGAGAGAGAGAGAGAGAGAGAGAGAGAGAGAGAGAGAGAGAGAGAGAGAGAGAGAGAGAGAGACGAGGGGGGAGGGGGACAGAGGAGAGAGGGGGACAGGAGAGAGAGAGAGAGAGGGAGACAGGAGAGGGAGAGAGAGAAGGAGAAAGAGAGAGAGAGAGCCAGCAUGAGCACACAAGCUGUCGAUAGGUCUGCUAGCAGCAGCCGUGCUGCAGCGGAGAGAAAAAUCAAGAAACAAGUCAUAGCAACACUGGGCACCGGGUUCUGCCAAGCGUUCAGAAAUCUGUUGGGUGCCAGAGGCCUCUGGGUAGCCUAGGCUAAGAUGUCACGCAAGGUGGCACAGGCAGUUCCCAUGGGGAGGACGUGGGAAUGGGUGGGGGCAGGAGUGGGUACAAGAGUUGGUGGGGUGGCAGUGGAAGGCUUAAUCAGAGUGGAUUCUGGAACAUUCGGGACUGCGGCACCUUCUAUCUGGACAGGGAUUUGGGACUGCGCAGGAGACGACCGGUGGUCCAGUGGGGCUUAAGGACUUGAUGGCGUAACCCACUUCUUCCACGUAUGUAUUUCCUGUGAUAAGGGCAAUGUCUAGGAUGUGUGGGUGCAGUUUUUCUCACCUUCUUUCUUGCUUUUUGCUAUUUUUCCCCUUGAAGGUUUAUUUUAUCUUUACUUUAAUUUCUUCUCCCUUAGUGUCAGUUACUUAAGCCUGACCAGGAUAGAGGAGAGGAGUGAACCAUCCCCGGCUUCCCACUUAACCUCCCACCCUUUACCCUGUUUUCUGCUGGUGGUUGAAGAGACUGGUUUUCCAGGUUGUUUGGGUGCAGGUCUAUGGGUAAGGGAGAGUGUGAGAAGUAACAAGGAACAGGCAAGAGGGACUGUUUUUCUAGGCAUUCUCUUAUUAAAACGCCUAGUUCUAGGCAUGUGGGGUGGUGGAGAACAUAAGCAUGGGGUAGGGUGUGGGCUGGGAGAAGUGGGGUGAUGCUGGGAGGUUGUCACUGCGUAGUUGAGAAAAGUGGGGAAUGGUGACGCAGUCACUGUUGCAUCUUGUUAGGAGCUCUGUGGAGACAGGUAGUGAAGCUCCUGCGAUCUGUGGGGCCAACAAAAGGGUUAAAGAUGAGUCUAGGUGGGAAGCUAACAUUUAGAGAUUAAAUGUCAUCCUUUUGGCGAUGGAAAGUUGUUUACCUUGCUUUCUCUGUGUCUCCAUGUUGGCUCCCUUCCAGUUCACAUGUGAUGGCCUUCCCUGUACUGCUGCAUCAUUAACUAAGUGACUGAGCUGGUCUUCCAUUGGCCAGGGGAGGGCUCUUAUUUCAGACACUUCCUCUCAUUGGUGGGAGGGCCAAUGGCAGGUGAAAACCUCUUUUUGAUUGGCUAAGGACAGAGUAUCAAAUCUGAAUUUGCAUUUCACUUGCUUAAAGGGGAGGGGGGAAAGCCCAGCAGCUUCUAAAAUCUCUUUUAGGGGUGUGCGUAGGUGCGUGUGUCUGCCUGCUUCUGACUGCCCAGUUGAAGCGUCUUCCUUUACCUUUUUAAAAAAUUCAGAAACUAUGAGGAAGAGCUUAAAAUGCCUCAAACUUUUUUUGUUUUUUUGAGAGAGGAGACUGGGGAGAUGGAUAUGAAGAGGAUUGACCAAAUUGGAAGAAAAUAUUUGUCCUCUGCUUUGGUGUCAGAAAAGGGAAUUUUCCAAUCUGCCACACCUCAGUGUUGCGGCAAAAUAAUUCUUGGCUCCCCUGGAAACCAUCGGGCAAGGUAGGGCAGAACUGCUGCUGCUGUCGCCAUAACCCUGGGCUUCCUAUUGAAUGGGCUGCUCCCAAGUGAAGGGAUCUACGCCGAUCCUCUGGUCAUCCAAAAGUCCUCAAAUCAGCUCUGAGCUGAGCCCACUGUUGGAAGAACCUGCCUUUUGGAAGUCGCCGCUACCUUGUGCGUGGAAAGGUGAGGAUGGGGACCAACCUCAGAGUAUUGCUUGGGACCUGGCUGUUGUGAUGUUUCCCAAAAAGUGAGUGGCUAGGGCUUUGAAGGACUCCCGUUAGAAUGCUUUGUCAGUCUAGGGAACCAGGAGAUGAAUGAAACUGGGGCAGCAGCAGCUGUCUUGUACUGGGGGCAGAAGCUAGAAAGUUAGAGUUCGGGCACCCCAUCUUGUCCUUGUAAUGGGUCUCAUAUUUAUGGGAAGGGGUUUGCUGGGCCCUGCACCAUGCAUAGUGACUCCACCCAUGACUGCGCAUCCAGAGCAAGAACGCAGUGCACCCUGGGUCUCUGGCCUGGGACAAACACCUCCCUCCUUGUUAUAUAACUCAGGGUGGCCUGUGCCUUCUCAAGCCUUCUUUGCCACUCAAUCUCCCCACUCCUUGGGGCUCACAGCUGAGGGUCUGUAAGGGAACAGUGGGAAUUUCUCUCCCUGAAUGAGCUAGCCUGUGUCUACUUGGUGACAAAAUUUGAGUACAGAAACGGUCUGCUGUCUCUUCUGAGGACAUGGACCCCAGAAUGCCCUUCUGAGUGCCCUGUGUCACCUGUAGUCCCUGACUUAGAGGUGGGCAUAGUGUCCUCCUUUCCCUUUUUAUCCUUUCUAGUUUGAGGGCAGGGAAUUUCUUAAGGAAAGGUAUGAAAACCUGUUAGGAGGGGUUUGGCAGUUUCCCUUCCUUGUCUCUAGCUUUCCUUUCCCUGGCUGGGUUCAUACUCUUUCUGGAUUCCUUUGAGGCUGCCAUUUUGAAGGCAUCUCUGCUUGUCCUUUACAUGGUAGCUGACGCUGCUGGUUUUGUUGGCCCUGCUGUGCUACUUCUAAGGAGUGGGUGGGAAUAAGAAAGGGGGCUCUGAUAGCGGGAUGAAGCUGCUGUAUAGAUGAUGGAGUUAUGAUUACAGCAGUAAGGUGGUCUGGAAGCAAAACUGCCUGGUUCCACGCUGGGUCACAGCACUGGUGGGUGUCUAAAUGGAAGCCUUCUGGGUCAGAGUUCCACAGCCUGGGACCCCAUCUUUCCCAGAGUGUGGGUACUUGGCUUCCCUGCCCUAGUCAACCUGAAUCUUAGAGAUGCUCCAUGAAGUGCCUAGUGUUGAAGAAGAGGGAAGGCAGACAUAGCAGCUCAUCUCAGAUGUGGUGGACCUGUGGUUUGUGUUUUUAAUUAGGCUCUCUCUCUCUGGCAGCCUCCAUAUGGAGAAAUGGGUUGAGGUCCACAGCAGGCAGCAGCAUUUGGUCAAAUGACCCUGCCUUUCCUCCUUGCCCCCUGCCAGGGCCACAGUUGUAAUUGCUGUUCUUUAGUGAGGCUCCCUGCUGCCCAACCCUUUCUAGGCCUUUCUGCGGACAGCGGCCAUCUUGUCUUCCUGCUCAGAGAUCUAAAAUGGUUUCCCAUUAUUGUCAGGUUGAAAUUCCUCCUAUUUGGUAGGAUACUCUGGGCUGACUACAAGUGGCCUUAGCUUUCCCACAAAGCCUUCCUCAGGUGAAAACCAGACCACCCAUAUCCCUGCUUUUCUUUUUUCCCUGUUUUCAAUACUGCUGUUUUCCAUGCCUGCGUUCUACCUGUUGCAGGGCCACUGUCUUUAUGGACCUCUCCCUGAGCACCCUGUAAGAAGAAAUCCCUGUAACCACUAUUACGAGUCUUCUUUCUUUCAUGUUUUUUUUUUUUUUUUUUUUUAAUGUGUGGUUCCGUGUAUUCUCUAUCAGAGUUUGUGCUCCAGUAAGAAGCCUGGGGAAAGGGGAGGAAGACAUCCCCUUUCAGAACCUCUGUGGCCGGAUGCCAUGUUACAUCAUGAACAUUACUGGGGUGGUUUGCUUGUUUGUUUGUUUUUGUUUUGUUAUCAUUUAGGGAGGAUCCUGUGGCUGACAAGAACCCCAGCCUUCAAAAAUCCUUUUUUCCUCCAUGUUUGCAAGAUGUUAGAAGGUGACACCCUCAAAUGUGACUAUUUUAGGAAUAUUGUAAGUCUCUAAAGUUGUGUUAGAUCAUUCAGCUGGCCCUUUUCCAUCAUGGCCAGGUUCAGUCAAAAUGAUAAAUUUUUUUGUAUCUGAAAUGAAUAAACCUCAGUUGUUUUGUGUGCCUUCCUCGGGAAGAGCAGGCAGAGGUGGGUAGGUAGGAACACCUACAGAGCGGGAUAAGCCCAGUCACUGACAUAGGUCCAGACACUGGACUCCUAAUACCAGGUCUGUACCCCAGUCUCAGCUGGAUGACUUUAGACAGGUCGUCCUGUUUCUUGCCUAAGUGCCUUAGUUUGUGAAGUAGCCCCUUAGCAGUCUGUUCUGUAGAAACGUCCAUUGUAUUGUCUGUUCCUUGUAGAUUUGGCUGAAGCCCUCUUUCUCUGAUUGGAGACUUAUUGGGGAUGUAAAAUGGGAGAAUAGCGGGUGACUAGCAAAUUAGGAGAGGACUAGAUCUCCUAAGCUGUCGCAGCAGGAAGAGAGAGGAAUAUCUCACGAGUUUGACCUCAAGCCGGCAAAGUGGUGGUGUUCUACCAGGGAGAACUUGACAGAGUACAAUUCCAUCUGUAAGUCAGUGACAAUCUCUUGGCAACUCAGUCAGUCUCAGCUGAGGAUAUCUGUGCACCUAAGCCAUCACACUAGAGCAGUUUGCUUGCACCUUUGUGGAACAGCAAAGAGGACCUGCUUGACUACCCUGCUUUCUGUGGGUAAGUGUUCAUCCUCAUUUCAAAUAUGCAGAGUCCGAUAGGUGUUUGUAAUCCUGGGCUGCUAUACCGUCUUUCUUCCUCUCCUACGUGUCCCAUCCUUUGUCUUUCAGAAGAAAGUGCUGGAAUUCAGUGUUCAGCCACCACAUGUCUUCCUUAGACUCAUACUUUAGAAGCCGAUCUUCGAUUUUCUCUAAAAUAGAUCCAGGAGACAUGUCUUUGUUGAGGAGUGUUAAUAGCUUCACGAAGGACCCUGCUGCACUCACUGUGCCCAGCUUGUGCUGAGGCUCCUAGUUGACUGACUGCAUGAGGAUGGUCCUUGCCAACGCCCGGCAUGCAUCUGCCAAGUUCUAGCUCCAAAUCUCUAAGCUGUAGGAACCUCAACUAUAUAUAGACUUGAACUAAGCAGAUCUUAGCAGACAUGUGUACCCUUUCCUGUGGGAGAAGAGUAUCACAACUACAGUGUGGAGAGUGAGUUAUUUCCAAGGGCUUAAAGGUAUAUAUUUCCAUAUCAGGCUUGGGUCUGCCGUACUUAACUCUUCUCUUUCCUUUUUCAGAUGCUGAUAGAUGAAAAGUCAUGCUAGAUGGGGUUGCUGAGGUGGGAUGAGGGCCAGUAGGUUGCCAUGUUUAGAGAAGGAAAGACCAUGUGGCCAAUGGAGAUUAUGCCCUACAUCAAAUCCCAGCUUCCAGUGUCUCCUCUGUUUCUUGCUGGAUUUGCUCUGCUCAAAGAUAUCUUUUGACCUUCGUUCUUUUUUUUUUUUUUUCUAUUUUUCGGAGCUGGGGACCGAACCCAGGGCCUUGCGAUUGCUAGGCAAGCGCUCUACCACUGAGCUAAAUCCCCAACCCCUUGACCUUCGUUCUUUUGGACCCUUUACUCUCUGUUUUCAUCUACCCCUUCCUGUUCUUCCCUUUGAUUUUUCUUUAGUAUUUUCAGCUACUGAUUCAACAGCCAUAUUUAUUCUUUGCCUUCCCUUCUCUGCCUUCAUCCCAAUUAAGCAAGGCAGAAAGGGGUAAUUAUUUUGGGAAGAUAGGUGAUUAGUAAACAAAAACCCAUGGUGUUGAGUGGUAGGGCAUAGUAGGGUAGGUAGUCUUCCUUCCUGUAGGUACUGUUGAGCCACCAAUUGUGUGAUUCCUUGACCUCAAGUAUAGCCUGAUAUAGUAUGGACCUGGUCUUGUUGGUAGAUUAAUAUCAGGCUGCUGACUAGAAACUAGAAGCAACAAAGGAAAGGUCUGAGCCUGCCUGUUUCCUGGAUCUAUUCCCUUAAACUUUACAAUUCCAAACCUCCAACAAUUAUCCUUUUCUUUCCACUCUCCCAUUCCUGACUUUUCUGUAAAUGGGUGACACGCAGAGUGCUAACAUAAAGGCAGCCUACUCAGCUAGCUAGGCUAUUAAUGUUUGGGAAGUAUCUGGAUAUCACUGUAGACAGUGUAUGGUAGUAACUGAGUACCUGGGCUUCCCACAGUCAGGAAAAGGAAGCUUCUUGGUUACUGACAGCUAACCUGAGCUUAUUCAGGGUGUUGUUCCCAUACCAUCCCUGAGAUCCUGGGAGCUGCCUGGGGUGUGGACAUGCUCUUCCCUUUUCAGAGUGCGUGUUUGUCUUACUCUGGACUCACUGAGCUUUAAAGGGGCUUAGGCUAAGUCUGGGGUCUAUAGUUUAGCCUGGGCUGAGCAGUAACUGAAUUCUGGAUUUUUCCCUACUUGGAAUUUUCUUUCGAAUGAAUUAUUUUUUUCUUUAGGCCUUUGAUUAUCUUCGAAGUAUCUCCAGACACUCGACAGGGAUUUGCUUUUCCUCUGCCUUACAAUAGCAGCAAUGUUGAGUUAAAGUGAUGAUGUCCCUCAGAACUGAGAAGGCAACCCCAUUGUAAACACAGGUCAGAAAGCAGCAGGUGCUUGCUAUGACAUUCAAAAGUCCCUGUCCAUUAUUGUUGGCAGUGUUCUUAGCAAUAGUGUCAGUGGAAACUAACUAACAGCCAAAGGUCUAGUGUCUAAGAGAAAAGGAAUAGUCCUGGAUAAUUCUACUGCCUACCUGCGAGAUCUCACCCUAGCUAGCUAGCGCAGCUGCUCUGCUGGCGCCGUGUUGAUGCAUUUCUCUUUCUUUGCCCCCUCCCUCUGCUGUCCAAAGAAGACUAAUGAAUCUCUCCUUGUAUGUUUGAUUGUCUUGUUUCUCCCUUUGAGGCGAGCCUCUGAGAUCCUUGCCAAGAAAAGUCAGUUUGGAUGAGUUGUCUGUUACUUCACAGAGCUGAACAAGUUCAGUCACUGCCUCAGUGGUAUGUGAGGGAUAGCAGGGGGUUGGGAGGACUGAUGUUUAAAUGGAAAGGUGAAUUCAAUCAGCUCUGCAGCUGGGAGGUGGAAAGGAAUAAACCUAGUUCAAGAUGAUACCCACUGGAGGGCUAGAGCCAGAUGUGCUUAGUGCAAUCUGAUGCCUUACCUCUAGUCCCCAGCCCGGCUUCUGCCGUGUGAUAGGCAGCAUCAUGUGUUGCCAGUCAAGCAGACAAGACAGUUAAGAUGCCUUGACUAGGAUCUUGGCAUGCCUGGCACUUCUUCCUUGGCCUCUGAGUCUCUAAGUUCUAGAAGACAGUUGUGGUACUGAAGCUGAGACAGCAUGGCCAUAGAAUACAAAGUACCUUACCCAGGGCCACACCAUAUGGGUUCCACUGAAUCCUGUUCUUACAGGGGCUGUGAAUUACUCAAUGGAUAUCUUGGCUCUAUCCUUUGGCUUGGGAUAUGUCCCCAAUACUGCAGCUUUAGAGGAGGAUGUGAAUUCUCACAGGUCGUUUUUUAUACAUAUAGCCGACCUUUGGGAUAAGUAAGAGAUACUGCCCUUUUAACUACCCUGCCAUCGAUGGGAGGUCCUUGUUUUCCUUAAUUUUUCUGAUCGGUAGCCAUGAGAAAAGUAUACACUGGGUUUGAUUCCUUGCCGGCUCCUUCUUAUCCUUUGGGCUGAUAAGCAAGAAAAUAGUCUUGAAGCCUCAUAGUCUGUGCAGACUUAAUGCAGACUCUAACCUGUGUGGUUAGAGUAUAGAAAUAGGACAGAGGGAACCUCAUAGGGCCAUGUUACUUUGUGGUUGGAUAAAAGGAACAAGUCAUGAGGGUGUGGGAAGUCAUAUCCAAAUGUCUAAACUCUAGGUAGGGUGGAGCCUGAAUGACUCUCUAAUGAGGCAAGGAAAUGGGGUCAGAUACCUCUCAGUCUCCAUAUGCCAUCCAUGGAAAAGGAGACUGCCCUCCCACCCUUGGUAACACAGAUAUUUCCCUUUGAUUGUUAUAAAAGUAUAAUUAUUAAAUGACUUAGGUCAAAUUCACACAAUUGGUGAGUGAUAUUGAGAUUUGAUUCAGCACUUCUGAUUCCAAAGUCAUGUUUUCUCCUCACCCUUGGGCUGAAGUCAGACGUUUUUGUAAAUUAACACCCCAAGAAACAAUAUAGUCUUCACUGUAAGCAAACUAUGUCCCACCAGUAAGGCUGUUCUCAAUCCUUUUUUGGGGAAGUGUGGCAUAUGUGUCUGUGGAAAUUAAAAAUAUCUUGUAGAUAUUGGUGAGUGGAUUAGGAGCUGGAGGUGCAGAGCCCUGAGACUAGGUUUCUUCUUGUUCUAUUGGUAUAAGACUGUCCAUAGUGUAGCAGUGUAAAAUACACAGUAGCCAGGAUAACAUUGUGAAAGAGGAAGACACCAAUCGUUGAAAAUAUGGUGACUAAUUUCUGUCAUGUUAGCACUCAGGAGGCUGAAGCAGGAGACUCGACUUCUAGGCUAGCCUAGGCUAGCUUAGUUUAAGACCCUGUCUCAAACACCUCCCCUCCAAAGAAAAAAACCACAAAGGAAAACAUAGUGAGGAGAGUGGAAAGAGUUCCAGAUGAUAGAUGGACAAGACCAUGUUAGUUGGGCUAUCUUCCAAAGGGUUAGACUUGAUGUGGAUACCAACUCCUCCUUUCUCUAGGCAUUAUACAAAUCCUUACAAGUUCUUAGUAGCUCACAAAAGCAUGUACUAGGUUACGAGUGGUGGGAGCAGAGGUCAGAGUCUGGUACGGAUACCCUUAGCCUUUUUCCUCUUUAGCCCUCAUCAGGCGUCAGAUGCUUUUGUGCCAAAGUCUGAUCACCACACCUCUCAUCUGUGCAGCACAAGGAGCAUUCAGGCCAGGUCUUUGCUCAGUCACUGACAGUAUGUGCCUGCAGGAGGCUAAUUUGAAUCUCAGUCUCUUCUGGGACCAUGGUUUCUACAGGGAAUGGACAGGACCAGGUUGGGAGACAUCACCUCUAGUUAGAUGCUUUGUGUCCACUGUGUGCUCUAUGAGGCUGAGACAGGACAGUGGCUGAGGCAUAAGAGCUUCUGCACCAUGUGGUCAACUUCAGGAUUCAGAACUUGUUUCCCAGGAAAGAGGUGGCUGAGGUGAGCCAGACUAUGCAAUUCCCUCCUCCUUGGCCUAACACUGCUGCUUCAGACUGCUGAAAAUAUAGGAGCUUCCACUGGCUGAAGGAAUCAAAAUCUGCGUAAGGCUGUGUGUAUUGAGAGGUUACAGUAUGGGGGGGUAAGUCAUGGAAAAUGGAUUUAUGUUGUUUUGUGUUUGCACCAUGUCCUCGGUUUAUUUGCCUGUGAAACAGGUUUUGAAUGAGGAUCCUGUUGGAAGUUCUAACUCAUCUUACCUCUUAGGCCUGCCCUGAAUAUUUGUGCAGGUUUUGUUUAGCUAGAAACUCAGGGUCAGGAACAUGAACCCAAGUUGCAGAGAGAGGAGGGAUCUUGAAGGCCUAAGAGCAACCAAGUUUAGUUCCAAAGAAGCACUCAGUACUGGUGUGAAUGAUAACUGGUGAUGGACUUCAAGUGGGUAGUAGGAAUGGUUUUGGAUGGGUGUCAGUGAAGAGAAGGGGUUAACUGAGUGGAGGUAGCUGGGGAGGACUUACCAGGUGGCAGGAAAUGACACUGUUACCUUGUUAGGGACAAGUAGAAGAUAAGCAUAUGGGAGCUGGCUGUGUUGCAGGGGUCAGAUGGAGAGACCAUGUGUAUUCAAGGCCUAUCUUUGUGCAGAGAGGACUGCAUUUAUUUAUCCUCCUUUUCUUGUGUGGUUGGGACUCUAGCCUAGCUACAUGUGACAAAAAUUCUCCAAAGCUGCCUGAGUAGGAGCCCCUGUGCCGUGUCUUAAGGAUGUAAGGAACUUUAAGGAGCCUUAAAGUCAGUACACAGAUCUCGUCACAUUAGCUGGUUCUCUGGGUCUUUGCACAACACUGAGUAGAGAGGUAGCAUUGGUCUUGUCAUGAUUGAACUGAUCCAGGAAGAGCCCACUCAGAACUAUAUUGCUUGUUUCAAACUUGCAUUUCUAACCUAGGUUUUGUAUUCCAGCUAGACCAAGGGUCGGGGUGGAGCUUUGAGGUCCUUGACAGUGUUCAGCAUCUCCGAGACCUUCAGUUCCUACUUUGCACAUUAGAGGAAGGAAAGCUCUGAAUGCCUUUAUUCUCCUUCCUGCUGCUUCUCUGAGUCCUUGGAGCUCUUGUGCUAUCUGGCUUGCACUUCUUGGCUAAAAUGCCAGGCAUUCCCCAUGUUCCUGGAGAGAUUUCUUGUUAAGCCAUUCCGACACCUUCAUAGAGUUUUCCCUGUGAAUUCAGGCAUAUUUCUGCCGGGUGUUGCUCAUUGAGAGAGGAAGUCUCACUGUGGCAUCUGUGAGGUUUUCCCAUCCUAUUUGUUGAGGGAUGCCUGGAGCUUUCUCAGCAAGUAUAUCCCGUUUGCGUUGCCUGUUUGCUGGCUGACAUAUAUCACCCACUGGAAGCACUGGCAUAGUUAGAUGCUAGAAAAACUGUCAUCAGCUCAGAACCUCUGCCUCAUGAUAAGUUUAGGAGAAUGGGUCUCCCCUGUUUAUGAAAAUUGGGUGAGAGAACUGAUGGGCCCUAGGCUUCUUUGAGUCCUGAAAACAGUCCUCAUUUUUUUUAAGGGAACUGAGGCUGAAUAUUGCACUAUAUCACCUCUAAGUGACCUUUAUUUUAAUAGACCCAGGGCUCUGAUAGAGGAUAGAGAAGUGCCUGCCUUCACUUAUCAUGAACUUAGGCAUGAAGGGUUAGAUUUUUUGGGGAGUGUUCCCUUCAGAGCAAAUGAGGUUGGACAGGGUCAGCCAACGUCUGUGUCUGCUUAUGUGUGUCUAUCUCUCUGUGUUCCCUGAACGGAUCUCUGUGAAUGAGAAGUUACAUGGAAGCCCUUUCGGUGGAGGAUGCAUUCUAUUACUUUGCACUGUAUUAAAGCUGGUUCUUUCUAGUCACCUGGAGAAUGCAAAAGAGGGUUGAUCCAACACAAAGUUAUGAGGGAAAUUCAUGGAGAUACCACAAAAAGCCUGUUUGUAACUUUGCUGAGUUCCCAGAGGAAGAUAGCACUCCCUGAGGAGAUGUUGGCUGCUCUUGUCAGGUCUGCCUAGUUCUGAGGCUAUGGUACUUUGAAACUGUGUGUGGCCGAGUUACCAGGAUAUAAAGUGACUCCUUAGUUCUACUUUAUAUCAACCCCAGCUCCCUUUGUGGCAGCCUUAAGGUGAGAGACUGGGAGAGACCACGUAGGCAUAGAACCUGGGACUAUAACACAUUUACCUUUGCAGAGAGGAUUUCUGCUCAGGAGUUGUUCUUAAUUCUCACACAAGAAGUAGAGAAAGUAUACGCUGUCUCUCAUAGGGAAGAUCUGUUCUAGUCGUGCAUUUGUUUUAUGACUACCCCUAUCCCAGGCCAUUCCUCCCAGUGAGGGGGACUCUUGACAAGGAUUGUGGGUGGUAGAGAAGGCAAGAUCAGAUGAGAUUUCCUAUAAAAGUUUUCUAGAAGAAUUUCAGAGUAAACUGACAGCUCUGACAGUCACGGGCAUUGUCUAUGAUGCUAAAGGCUUCGGUGCAUGUUCAAGCACAUGGACUACUUAGAACUCCAGAGUGUGAAAUAAUUAGUUAAUGGCUCAGUGAAAGUUGUGUUAAGUAUGGAAAAUCCUGUGUCCUUUUGCGUUAUUGCCAGCUGAAUAUUUAGUAUCAGAAGGCUGGACAUGUCGACAGGCUGGGGAAGGUUACAUGAGUUGUAAACCACCCCACCUCACCCCACCCCACCCCACCCCUGGAGCUGAGGACUGAACCCAGGGCCUUGUGCUUGCCAGGCAAGUGCUCUACCACUGAGCUAAAUCCCCAACCCCAAGUGAGUUGUAUCUUAAGUUCACGCUUACUAUUGACUUUCUUCCUCCUUCCUUUUCUAUUUCCUACUCUCUUGCAUUCCUUAGCCAUUUCUGAAUACAAUCAUUUAUCUACGGAGGAUUGGAUCCACAAAAUGCUGAAGCCCCUCUGUGAAAUGAAAUUAUUUUCACUUAAUUUACACAUACCCUUUUGUGAACUCUUUAAACCAUGCCCAGGUUUCUUCUAAUACCUGAUUCCAAGAAAAUGCUGUCAAAUUAUUGUUUUAAGAAUACUUUAGCGAUAGUGGCAAAAAGAAGUCUGUGUAUAUAAGGUAAAGAUGUAGUUCAUAUUCAUAUAUACGUGUUCAUGGAUGUGUUCACUGCUACAUUUUUGAAGUACAGUUCUGAUAUCAGUGAAUGGAGUGACUUUGGAGUGUAAAUGCAGGGACCCUUCUGUCUCCAGGUUUAGCUUUCCAUUGGCCUCGACAGAGAACAGUUUUCCCUAUAGUAUGUACCUAAUUUUUGGGUAGUGGUUGUUUAGGUAUACAAAUCCUAAACCUAAUUAGCUGUUAUUUCUUUUCAGCUCAAAUUCUAAUGGCCUGGAAUAUCUAAGACCUUGGAUGCCACUCUGCUAGGUAAGAAAGGCCAAGAGUGAGUUGGCACAGAGAAGGAGAGGACACUGCCUCUGGCCACUGGCUUCUCUCCAAAACAGGUGACCUUUGUGUUUGAAAGGAAUGCAUUUAAUCUUUUGGGCCUAAUAGAAGUUACUUGUAUUUUCUCUCCUUUUCGCCCUUCCUUUCUCUCCUCUACUCUUCCCCCACCCUUGCUACUUCCUCAGCCACCAAAGAAUUUAAUCUGCUGCACAACAAACAAUACAGUUAUAAAACUUUGAAGACAAGAGGGUGUAGACUCCCCAACAAGGGAAAGGGCAUGCUGGGUAAUGUCCCCAGGAAACAUGCCAGGCUUGUACAGAGCCUGCAAGAGCCUAAUUGACUGCGUACCUGGGUGCCUGCCCUGCCCAGUGCUAAGCUAUCCCUAGUCCAGAGAAGGAAUCCAAAUGAAAGAGGUCAGAGAAGGGCUUAUAAAGGGGAAGUUGUGUGUUUUCUCCCUCUGAUCUGAUGGGAAUGUACUAAACUGUGAAACUUCCUCCUCUGCUGCUUCUCUCUCUCCCCUCCCUCUUUUUCCAUUUUCUCCCUCCUACCUCCCUUAACCCUCCACCUCCUCCGUCUCAUUGUUCUUGAGCCUAGCAGACAGAAGUCAUGAUAACAGAAAAAGGUUAGAAUAGCAGUUGUAGGUGCUACUACUGGCUGGGCCUGCCAAGCAUGAAACAGGGUUUGAGGUCUUUGCUGCCUAUAGGCUCAGACCUAUCUCUGCUAAGCCCAGCCUCCUUCUCUGAGUUGAGGCAGUGAAGCCACAUACACAACACAGUGUGCCCCAGUCUAUAUACUGCUAGGUGUGUACCCAGGUACUGGGCAGAAAUACCACUGAGAGGUCAGUGGGUCCACCUUGACCUUCUUAGGACUGUGCUAAGGAGGACAGUGAACGGAGAUGAUCUCUGCUAUGAGAUUCACAGGAGGAGCAAGGCUUGUUGUAUAGAACUUUAUUGUUGAGAACUCCUAAGAACCUAGUGAGUAAGAAUAUGGCACUAGAUGGGAUGUUAUACCUGCCUCUUAUCUCAAGAAACAAGGAACCUUGUUUCUUAGCAAUAGUAGACCAGUGCUAGCUAAAUGAGAGGUAGGGAAGUUGGACUUAGUCCUGACCUGAUUAAGCUGGUAUCGCCUUACUGAACCUUCUCCUCUGAGCCAUAUAGACUAAUUAGGCAUGUUAAUGGAAUGGGCUGUUUGGAUCUAGGGCCAUGAACUUUGGUAGGCAUAGGGAGACUACAGGCAAGCUUAUCUUUCCUCUGGCAACAAACUUGAGCUUCCAUGAAAGUGGUCUGGGCUGUGUUUCUUUUGCCUAUGAGAGCAAAGCCUUUUGCCAUAGCCAGGGUACAUUGCACUCUGGCCUUCACUCUGUACUUCCUUCUCUCUUUCUUCACUGUUUAUUUCAUCCCAGAAGGCAGUGUGGUGCCAUGCCCUGUCUAGCCCAGAUACUGUGCCAGGACCUUAGUGCUCUGUACAGAAUUUUACUGAGUUUGGGAGCUUUUGAGACGUAAGAGUUGUUCAGUAGCAUUAAGGAGGGGGCAGAAAACCUAACUUUUAGGAAUUUCAUUUCUCAGGAACAUAGGUGUCCUGAUUCAGUGGAGCCAGGAGGACCAGUGUGGGCCCCGACAGGCUUCCGAAGCCUUUCUUCUCCCUUAGUUAUCCACACAGGUACUUGAAGGACAUGCUGAACCUCAAGGAUAGUAUGCCCAAACAAGUUCCAGAUUCCCAUUUACCGAUGGAUCCCCAACAUAUGCUCCUCAUUUUAUCACCCUUUCCUCCGAUUCAUUAGCCACAGCUUUCUGGUAACACGAUCUACCUACCCUGGAUGCUGGGCCUGGGCUGCAGCCGAGAGUGACAAGAAGCCAGGCCCCCUGUUCAGUGUACAUACAGGUGGGUUUUUGGACGUAAGAUGGUUCUUUUUUUUUUUUUUUUUCAAUAGAAGACUUCCCCUAUCUUUCUCUCCCAAAGAUGAGUUCUUCUAACUGGUGGGAACUCCUAAAUCAGUCUUCAGAUGCAGGCAAGGAAAGGGAUGGCAGGCUUCUGCACCCUCCCCCACCCUGGCUGGAAUUCUCAUCGUGCACACAGCUGUGACUCAGCACUCACUGCUGGGUCAGGAGGGAGAAGCUACUUCGUGGCUGGAAUCUUCCCACGUUCUGCAUUUGAGCACAUCGAACAGCCCAGGCUAGGCCAGCAGGGUGAGGUUCCUGGGCAAGUAUUUUCUCCUCCAACCCAUAUUCUUCCCACAUUUUAGGGAUUUCUGUUCUGGGCUCAGGAUAUUUAGGAUUCUAAAAUUCAUUGCAUCAGCCAUAGACUAAAGUAAAGGUAGUCUUUUCAUCUUUGCUUUUAACCAAUGGCCCAUGAAAAGUGGUUAACCUUUAUUUGUACUGUUUGGCUUUUGUGGGUUGGGUUUUCUAUGUGUUAAUUUUAUAUCUAGACAGAUUAUGACUUUUACAUGCUGUUGUUGCUUCUGGUUGUGUGUGUGUGCUUCUGUGUGUGUGUGUGUGUGUGUGUGUGUGUGUGUGUGUGCUUCUGUGUGUGUGUGUGUAUGUGUGCUUCUGUGUGUGUGUGUGUGUGUGUGUGUGUGUGUGUGUGUGUGUGUGUGUGUGUGUGUGUUCUGACCACUUUUCCCCAGCUUCUUUUUACAGAUGAAGACACUGAAGCCAUUCAGGGCUAUGGCAGGGCCCUGUACUCAGCAUAUAGGCAAGCAGGUAUCUAAUUUACCAGGAGUGACACUGGCAGUCUACCCUCUGGCCCUACCUUACCAGAGGAGUGUCCUGUCAUGGGAGGGUAGAAUGGCUUCCAGAGAGAAAUAUGCACAGGAGCAGAUGGAGGCUGGAGAGUGUGUCUCAGACUUCUUCCCUGCUCGGUGACCUAUUCAGAACUGCUAAGCAAGGCAGAGUUUCUUUUUUAAACAACCCCAUCAAACUCUGUAACUUAAAGUUUACUUGAAGCCAUUUAAUUGAGGAGGGAGAUUCCAUUAUUCUCACUGAAAGCCCUAACAGCCCCACGGGCUCCCCUGGUGCAGAGAGCUACAGCCUUCCACACUUUAUCAAGUCAUCUAGCUAUUCCACCUUGAAUCACCACCUUGUUUCAGAAAAGGGACAUUGCCCAGCUGACUAUGGGAACCUUACUUUUAUAGGGUGCUGAAGCCUGAGUGGGAUUGGAUGGACAAGAGUUUUAAAUGCUAGGACUACUCCUCUUUCCCUCCUCUGUAGUUCCCUGCUUAAAUCACUUUCAGUGAUUUCUUAUUUACCAGAAAACAGGGUAUGCAGUCCAUGGAUGUAACUCUAGACCUUACCUUUCCUUCAUUGGUAGUUUACCCUGGCCAGGCAUCUUAUUUGCUGAGUAGUAAGAAAGGAAUUAGCUUCGUGCCAUGCUGAGGACCAAAAGAAACAGGUGUUUUCUAAAUGAUAGCAAACCUGGAUAGCCUUAGGGAAAGCUUUCUAGAGCUGAGGUGGCUCAGGGAGGAGGUGGGGAGUUGCUAAGAGGAGACACCAGCACAGGCAGAGCCUUCUGGGAGGCAGGGUGUGCCCUGGAUCCCUGCAGGAUCUCCUCAGCAUAGAGGGGGGAGGGGAAGGGGAAGGGGCUGGGGAUACUAGAGGAAGUUGCAAAGAAAAUUUGGCUGAAAUGGAAAUCAGAAGAGCUGAAUAUUAUCAUAUGCAAAUCUCAUCUUCCCCUUCAUUUACAGGGUUUUGACCCUUGUUAAUAACUGCCAUCUAAUCCAUUUAUGACCUAAAGCCCUCCCUAUCACAGGGCCACAGACUCUAAUUUUGGCAACCAGUUUCAGUGUCACUCAGGAACCCAGUGUAUAGAUCUGCCUGCAUUCCUCUGCAGCUAAGGCCCCGGAAAGCCCCAGGGGAGGCUGCUGGGCCUUGUUUCUCCUCUGGCUGGCCCAGUUCCUGAGAAGCUAAAGCCUAAGCAGUGUUAGCAUUGCUAGGCUUCAUUGCCAUCGUCUUCUCUAUUGCUGGGAAGAAUAAAGAGGCACCAAUGGGGCAAAAGAACAAAAGCAGGUUCUCCUAGACUACCUGACCUCUUGUAUAACACGGCAUCUCCACCCAGGUACAGCAUGUUUGCAGUGAGCCUUUCCACUCCCCGAGCUAAGUCCCCCUCCCCAGUCUAGCUCAGAGUUCAGUUCAAGAGAAAGGAGGUCACAUUCAAGCUGUGGAUCAGGCAGCAACAGUGGGCAGAGGGAAAGGAAUACAGACAUUAGCUCAUCGUAUCCUGUGACUACGGUUUCUUGUACAGACAUCGGAAUAAUGCCUGCUUCACUGGACUCUUGGCACAAUAAGUAUUGUGACUCUGGGGAUGUUCACAUUAUAUUUGCUCUAUUACCCUAUAACAGCCAUAAAAAGAGAUAAGCUUGUAUCUGGAGGCCAAAAAGAGUUGUUGGGGAACCUGAAAAAUACAGCUGUGACAUCAGAGGAAACACACAGCAAAGAGUGCUGAACACAGCAGUCCAAUGUGGAAAAUAGCUUGUGAAUCUUAUUUUUAGAUAAAUUUUGUUUUUCUGUUAGAGGGUCAUCUGUAUAAUACAGUGAUAAGUGUUUUAAAGUCAUUAUGGGUUAAAUCAAAUUGCCAGCCUACGGGGACAUGGGACAGAAAGGAGGAAGGAAUGUGUUCAUUUUGAAUAAUACUUGUGGAAGAGUUGUCCUGGAACUUGGGGUUAUCUCAUAGGUUACUGUCUUGAAGUGACAUAAUCUAUCUACAGACACUAUGCAUCUUGGGAAAUACUAUAUAAACUCAAGACAUUACAAAUGUACAUAUGUUGAAUGGAUUUGGUUUUUAUUUCAUUGUUUAUAAUAAUUUCUAAUUACUAAUGUGAAGUCAUACAGGGAAACAACCUCUGCAUUGGUCUUGUCUGCUCCAAGUGUUGGCUGUGACUCUGGAUGCUGCUCUGAGCAGCCUUGUAUGGCUGUCAUCUGCCUCUGUGAUUCUCAGGGCUGAGACUGGUUCUUCUGACUGCACUUCUCUGCUUUCUUCAGUGAGAUCCUCUUCUUCUGGAAGCUGGUUUCACAUGGUGGCUUAGAUUUUUCCAUCUUUGUAUCUAGCACCAUUUGAAAUCAGUGUUUUAGGAGUAAGAAUUGCAGCACAGCAGAGGGUAGACUGCAGAGGAACAGCUGUACCCAGGACUGGCUCUCUCCUUCAAGAAAUCAAGGGAAGACUUGAAUAGUGAAAUUUGCUCUUGAGUCUAUUUGAUUUAGAUACAGUGAUAGUGAGAAAGUUUUUGUGCAGAAUAAAUGUAAGGGUGUGAUCAGGGGUACGGAGUGAUCCACUUUACCCAGCAUUCCAUGGGUGGAGGAGGGUGCCUCUGGCCUGCACUGUUCAUUGUCUGGUAAUGUUCCAGGUGUCAAUUGUAGCAAGGAAGAGGGUAAGGGCUCUGUAUGUGGAGGACUGCUUCAUUCACAUCAGUACUGCCUGCCUGUACCUGGAGGAUCCGUGGAGCACUCAGUCCUGGUUGCAGCACAGCUGAAAUCAGACCGGCACCUGCCUUGAGAUUCAGACCUGAAGAACACCACUGGUCCAUCUCUUACACAGGCUGACCGAUUUCUCCUGGUGUUCAGAGUCUGUUUUUGUCUAGCACCAUUUGAAAUCGGUUAUGAUGUAGGGGGAAAAGCACCAGCCUCAGAGCCUUGUGGUGUCUGGUCAGCAUCAGCCUGUCAUUUCCUACACAGGCAGAGCAGAAAAGGAAGAUCACAGUUUCCUAACUUCUUUAAUGCAUAUGUAUGUGGCUACAGAAGUUAGAGAUCACUUACUGGGUUUUUUUUUUUAAUUGUUGUAAUUUAUUGUUGUAAAAUAUGCUCAGUUACAAUUUCUGACAUGGAGUACCGUGAUAAACUAGUUGCUGUUGAAUCGUCUGUUAAGUGCUGGCUUUAAUAAAUAAUUUGCUACAUUCAA